GUGGAACUUUCUUGUCACACAGGACUACUUAUGCACGCCUCCACUUUGACCACCCCGCUCCUAUACGAUGAGUGACGUCCCCGCCAAUCUCUCCGUCCCCCUGAAUCACAGACCCAAGAUAUCGGACGCUGUCCCUCUUGGCGAUGGCCUGAGAACCAAUCAUCACGUCCCUGCCUACUUCGUUCGGCUCGACGCUAAACUUGCACUCCAGGUACUCUGUCUUAGAUCUGCUUAUUUUGAAACCUUUAGACUCGAGGGGCUGUCUCCAUACCUCUAACCUUUCACUAACAUCGGCGCUCGUCUCGUCUAUCAAUAUUAUAUCAUCAGCAAAGAGCAUACACCAAGGCACAUCCCCUUGGAUAUGACGGGUUAGAGCAUCUAUCACUAAGNNNNNNNNNNNNNNNNNNNNNNNNNNNNNNNNNNNNNNNNNNNNNNNNNNNNNNNNNNNNNNNNNNNNNNNNNNNNNNNNNNNNNNNNNNNNNNNNNNNNNNNNNNNNNNNNNNNNNNNNNNNNNNNNNNNNNNNNNNNNNNNNNNNNNNNNNNNNNNNNNNNNNNNNNNNNNNNNNNNNNNNNNNNNNNNNNNNNNNNNNNNNNNNNNNNNNNNNNNNNNNNNNNNNNNNNNNNNNNNNNNNNNNNNNNNNNNNNNNNNNNNNNNNNNNNNNNNNNNNNNNNNNNNNNNNNNNNNNNNNNNNNNNNNNNNNNNNNNNNNNNNNNNNNNNNNNNNNNNNNNNNNNNNNNNNNNNNNNNNNNNNNNNNNNNNNNNNNNNNNNNNNNNNNNNNNNNNNNNNNNNNNNNNNNNNNNNNNNNNNNNNNNNNNNNNNNNNNNNNNNNNNNNNNNNNNNNNNNNNNNNNNNNNNNNNNNNNNNNNNNNNNNNNNNNNNNNNNNNNNNNNNNNNNNNNNNNNNNNNNNNNNNNNNNNNNNNNNNNNNNNNNNNNNNNNNNNNNNNNNNNNNNNNNNNNNNNNNNNNNNNNNNNNNNNNNNNNNNNNNNNNNNNNNNNNNNNNNNNNNNNNNNNNNNNNNNNNNNNNNNNNNNNNNNNNNNNNNNNNNNNNNNNNNNNNNNNNNNNNNNNNNNNNNNNNNNNNNNNNNNNNNNNNNNNNNNNNNNNNNNNNNNNNNNNNNNNNNNNNNNNNNNNNNNNNNNNNNNNNNNNNNNNNNNNNNNNNNNNNNNNNNNNNNNNNNNNNNNNNNNNNNNNNNNNNNNNNNNNNNNNNNNNNNNNNNNNNNNNNNNNNNNNNNNNNNNNNNNNNNNNNNNNNNNNNNNNNNNNNNNNNNNNNNNNNNNNNNNNNNNNNNNNNNNNNNNNNNNNNNNNNNNNNNNNNNNNNNNNNNNNNNNNNNNNNNNNNNNNNNNNNNNNNNNNNNNNNNNNNNNNNNNNNNNNNNNNNNNNNNNNNNNNNNNNNNNNNNNNNNNNNNNNNNNNNNNNNNNNNNNNNNNNNNNNNNNNNNNNNNNNNNNNNNNNNNNNNNNNNNNNNNNNNNNNNNNNNNNNNNNNNNNNNNNNNNNNNNNNNNNNNNNNNNNNNNNNNNNNNNNNNNNNNNNNNNNNNNNNNNNNNNNNNNNNNNNNNNNNNNNNNNNNNNNNNNNNNNNNNNNNNNNNNNNNNNNNNNNNNNNNNNNNNNNNNNNNNNNNNNNNNNNNNNNNNNNNNNNNNNNNNNNNNNNNNNNNNNNNNNNNNNNNNNNNNNNNNNNNNNNNNNNNNNNNNNNNNNNNNNNNNNNNNNNNNNNNNNNNNNNNNNNNNNNNNNNNNNNNNNNNNNNNNNNNNNNNNNNNNNNNNNNNNNNNNNNNNNNNNNNNNNNNNNNNNNNNNNNNNNNNNNNNNNNNNNNNNNNNNNNNNNNNNNNNNNNNNNNNNNNNNNNNNNNNNNNNNNNNNNNNNNNNNNNNNNNNNNNNNNNNNNNNNNNNNNNNNNNNNNNNNNNNNNNNNNNNNNNNNNNNNNNNNNNNNNNNNNNNNNNNNNNNNNNNNNNNNNNNNNNNNNNNNNNNNNNNNNNNNNNNNNNNNNNNNNNNNNNNNNNNNNNNNNNNNNNNNNNNNNNNNNNNNNNNNNNNNNNNNNNNNNNNNNNNNNNNNNNNNNNNNNNNNNNNNNNNNNNNNNNNNNNNNNNNNNNNNNNNNNNNUCCUCUUCACCCAGAGACCGACAUCCAUCACUAGGAGUCUAUGAAGAGUCGAAAGGGACUCUCCCAGAAUAACCUUGCAGUCCUUGCACAUACCCCUUUCGCUUUUUCUGAGGAGGAGGUAAUCAAUCUGAGUUCUCGACGCCGAACUCUUGAAGGUGACCAAAUGCUCCUCCCUCUUCUGAAAUGUCGAGUUCGCAAUCACAAGCUCGGAAGCCCUGGCGAAAUCACGCAGUGACGUGCCUCCGUUCCUAACCCCAAAGCCGAAGCCACCGUGCACCUCACCAUAACUACCAGCAUCAUCCCCAGUAUGACCAUUAAAGUCCCCUCCAAUAACUAACUUCUCAGAUUGGAGAAUACUACUCACUAGAUCAUCCAAGUCCUCCCAAAAGCGCCUUUUAGCCUCCUCGUAUAAGCCCGCUUGCGGUGCGUAAGCGCUGAUGAAGUUGAGGACGCAACCCCCAGUAACCAACUUAAUAGACAUUAACCUAUCAUUCACUCGCCUAACAUCGACCACGGACUCCCUUAGAUCCCUAUCUACCAAGAUGCCCACUCCAUUCUUACCUCUCACGACCCCAAAAUACCACAGCUUAAACCCGUCUACAUUACCAACUUAAUAGACAUUAACCUAUCAUUCACUCGCCUAACAUCGACCACGGACUCCCUUAGAUCCCUAUCUACCAAGAUGCCCACUCCAUUCUUACCUCUCACGACCCCAAAAUACCACAACUUAAACCCGUCUAUAUUCCUCGCCUUCGGCUCUGAUUCCAUAAUAAAUAUCCCAAUUGGUAACUAUGUAUUAAUGGAUCAUAAUAUAAUUUUUUGAUUUUGUGAGCGUUUAUUUUUACGUGAUGCGUUGUAAUUAAUUAAGUUCUGAAUUCAUGUAUUGUGAUUAAAACCAUUGCUGUUAGGAAUUUAUUAAGUAAUUAUUUUGUUAUUGUAAUUUUGUAAUGUAAGCACAAUAUGGCUAUAGCUAAGGCUAUGGGUCAGAUGUUUAAAGUUGAAUUCCUGCUUCUGCAAUUUCAGAUUGGGCAAGACUCACAAACUGGCCCAGUUAAGGAAAAUGGUUUCAAAGGAGUCUGAACUUAGGCCAUUAGGCUUGUGCAUUAAUCCCAACAACUUGACUCCAACUAUAGGCUUCCUUCUCGAAUUAUAGCAUUAACUUAUUCCUUUUGUUUACUGAAAAUCACGCGUGAUGUAAUUAGCUUCAAAACUCGAAGCAUGUUCUGAUUUUUCCUUUGAAAUAAAUUGACUUCUAACUUUGGAUUAAUGUACAUUUUGGGCAAAUUCCAUUGAUAUUAAACUCAAACUCAUAAUGGGCCUAGUCAUUCAAGAGAAGCGAUUGGGUCUUCCUUUGACAAAUAGCCCAAUUGGAUUGUUUCAUUUUAUUUGGGACUUAUAGUCAUUUAAUCCAUAGUUUCAUUAAGUAGUUGGUACCUUUACCAUUAGACAUGGCUGUGAAUGUUGAUAACAAUCUAAAAUAGCUUAGGAAAUAAUUUGAACAUCGUAGCAUGCUUUAGUAGUGAUUAAUAAACCAUCGUGAUUAUGGGUACAAUUUCCAUGACAUAGUUACAAUGCCUAAUUUCAAAAAUUCAGGUGUGCAUUUCAUGUAACCCGAUUAUAACAACUUUAAACAUUAAUAAAAUAAACAUAUCGCAAAUCACAGGUGCAUUUCAUGUAACGUGAUUUGUGAUGUGUUCCAAAAUGGAAAGUGUACGACUAUUGUAAGUUGUUCAAGAAAUAAUUUUAUAAAUCCUAAAACGCGGUUUAUAAUAGUUACAAGUGAUUAUAAAGUAAAAAAUGCAAAAUAGGUUUUAAACAUGUAAUAAAUUAGAUAAUUUGGCCAAUUAUUAAUAGUUAAGUGACCGUGCUAGAACCACAGAAUCCGUAAAUGCCUAACACCUUCUCAUAGGUUAACAUAAUUCCUUACCUAGUUUUCUAGUUUCGUAGACUUUUAAAUAAAGUCGAUUCCUCGAUUUGGGAAUUGAAAUAAAUCAAUGACUCAGGACAUUAUAAUAAAUAUCCCAAGUGGUAACUCUGCAAUAAAUAAAAAUAAUUCCAUUUCGAUUUAAGUCACUUAAAUUGAAAAACUCUCUUAAAUACCCCUCGGGGAAAAGGGAGGUGUGACAGCUCUGGCGACUCUGCUGGGAAUAAGAAUCAUGGGUCAAAAUAAAUCAUGGGUUUUUAACCGAUCACUUUAAAUAAAUGUGCAAGAUGAAUACUAUUGAAAAUGUACCUUUCAAAGUUGUAAAGGAAAUCCCGAUAGGACUCCAUAUGUGGUGGAAUGACCUGGGGAGAUCAGCGAAGGUGUUGAGAUAAAAGCUUUAGGAGGUCUCACUGUCUCUUGAAGAUUAAACCAAGGGUGGACAUAAUUGAAUCUUUGAUACCGUUUUGGGACACAUCACCCAAUGUGUUCCAUUUCUCUAAUUUUGAGUUGACCCCUACAUUUGAGGAGAUAGCAGGCUAUGCUAGCUUUAAUGGGAAUCUCAGGAGCCAAUACCCAGAGGCACCAAGAGUUGUAGCCCCUCACAAGUUUCUGGACCUUCUAAGUAUUAGCCGGAAAGUCAAAGAUGGAAAUUUAGCUGAGGGAUUCUGCACAUUCUAUUUCCUAUACCACCAUUAUGGGGACAUCCACGGUUUUGAGGCUCCGGAUACAGGUUUAAGUAAUUAAGUGAAUAAAGGCAAAUGGGAAGCACGCUGGGGAUUAGCCUUCAUAGUGGAAUUCUUAGGCACUCUAAUCUGCCUAAAGAGUGAUGGACAUAUAGAUUUGGGACUCGCAUAAGUGUGCUUUCUUUUAUUAAUUGGUCUUCGGAGUAUUCAGCCGUAUGCUCAAUACAGGGUUCUAGGCCAGCUGGGCAGGUACCAAAAUGUCCGUCAUGAUGAAGAUUUGAGUCGACAAGUCAUUGAACUAUGUCAAAAAUUUACAUUCUCGGAAGAAAAGGUCAGCCAGAGUUGGCAUCAAUGUAGGUUGCUGGAGCCAAAGACUGGAGUAUGAUAUUUUUCCAAGGGUGAUAUAGAGCCUAGCUACAUGACCUGGCAUAGUAAAAGGGCUCGAGCCCAUCAAGAGCCUAAACGGCCCUCCAAAAAGCCCCACGUAUAAGAGUUCACUAAUGGUGAACAAGAAAAAUGGAAUUGGUUGGCAAAAGAGAGGCUAUAGGGCUACGAUAAGCAAAUUAGAAUGGCAAAUUAGAGACAUUAAAUUUAAUAGAGGUUUGUAGGCCACUGCUCAUGAAGUGAGAAGAAGAAGUUGGCACAAGAAAAUGAAGCCCUCUGAGCCCAGAUUUAAAUAAUGAAGAUAGCUGCUAAAAACCCAGGAAGGAGUAGAACAAAUGAAAAACUUAUAAAUGGUCUUAGGGGAAAAGUGUGCGAUUAUGGCGCCAAUUUGGACAAAGCCGAAGAUGAAUUGGAAAGACCCCGGGCAAAGUUGGCAAAGAAUGUAGAAGAACGAGCGAAGUUUGUUCAGCAGCUAAAGGAAAGUAUGAAAAAGAAGUCACAAGUUUAAAGAAAAAGCUAACCAGUCUUAAGAAAGAAAUGGCUCAGCAAACAAAGAACUUCAAAGUAAAAAAAAGGGCAUUGUUAUGCAUUGAUGUAUCGACGGGAAGAGGACAUACAACACUUACAGGAACAAAGCCAUACGGACACCCAAGUUCUGAAAGCUAGAUCUCAGAGGCAUCAAUAGAGAAAGGAUUAGAGGAACUGCUGAUUAUAUCGUCAUUAAAUGCCAUGAGUGCGAGGAUAUGAGUAGAUCCACUUUCUUUGCUACUCUAAUGAUUUUUGUCCGUCAGAUAAUGGACGACCUAUAUCACCUCCAAGAAGACAUGGCAUGCAGGCAUGUGGCGAGACCGACUAAUGUCCCACGAGCCCCUGGAGUAGUAUUGGAGGCACUUAUGUAUUUCUAAUUUUCUUUUCGUGUCUGUAUUUUGGUUUCUUUUAGAGUCUGUUAGUCUGCUUUGAAUCUGUUUUGGGUUUUCAGUUCAUAAGUCUGUAAGUCGGAGCCGUUGUAAUAGAGAAAAAUUAGAAUUUUUUAUUUUAAUAAAAAUUUGAAAAACCCCAAGAAACUAUUUCUUUCUUUUAUUUCGCAUUUAUCCCCUGAACUAUGUAAUGAUCUGAUUCACGCGGUGUCAUGAUACAUAGGCAAUCUCCAUCGGAUCUGGUCAUAGCUAUAGAUAAUUCGAAUUAGAGAAAAAAUGAUGAAAAAGGGCACAAGAAAAAGAGAGAAAACAAUGCAAAAGAGAGAGCACAAAGAAAAGAGAGACAAUAAUGAAAAAGCACAAAAGAAAAGAAAAGAUUCAAGAUCUGGAAGAUAACAAAAGCUGGGAUGAGACACGCAGCCGUUGCAAAAUAUGUAGAAAAAUGUUUACUUAUCUAGGUGCAUUGCAUUGCUCCAACGUGCAAUUCCUUAUGUGUUAAAUGUCUCAAACUAACUGGUUUAUUGUGUAUGCUAUUAAGAACAUAUUAUGUUUUAGGUGGUUGAUUUUGCGCUAAUCUGGCUUCAGACCCUUACUUCACGAAAUCUAAAGGGAGUGUUGAAAUAACAUCGGAGAGUCACCUACCAAUCAUUAACCCCUCCAUGGACAGCCCAAUAUCGAUUAUCCCGACAUCAGAGUCAACAAUUGCUGAAGAGAACAUGAUAUUGCGUCUUCGUAUGUUGGAGAUGUGGGACACUUGCGCUAAUGCUAUAAAGCCGCACAGUGCAAUACAUGGUUUUCCGGAGCUGAUUCCCAAAAUAAGUGGAAUAUCCGUAUAAACUACCCGGCCACCCCAUUCAGAAAACUCACUAUGUCAACCCAUUUCACCGGAACACUUUCUGAGGUUCCCCCCAGGCACUAUUUUCGGGAGUGUCUUCUAACAUAUUCACCGCACCACCAGCCUCUACUACGACACAGCCAACAAAGUCCAUGCCAGGUUUUGAGCUGUCAUCCUUUACCAUCCAAAUACCAUCAUUUUAACUGGACACGAUUCAUGUCACCCAAAACCCAUACCCUUAACACCCUCGGUAUGAGUCUACCAUGGAAUAAGAGAAAACUGUAAAGAAUACUGAGCAAGAAGAGAUUACUCAAAAAAUGAAAAGCAUAGAACAAAGUCUCAAGAACAUGUAAGACCUGAGUGUCCAGAAGAGUGUAUCCUACGCUGACUUGUGCAUGUUCCCUCAUGUUCAUCUGCCCAUCAGUUUCAAGACUCCCAAAUUUGAAAAAAUAUUAUGGACAUGGGGACCCUAUAGUUCACCUGAAAAGGUAUUGCAAUCAGUUAAGAGGAGCGGGCAAAAAAGAAGAACUCUUGAUGGCUUACGUCGGGAAGAGUUUAGCCAGAAUUACAUCCGAAUGGUAUAUGGACCAAGAUAUCUCCCACUGGCACAUAUGGGAUGACUUGGCCCGAGACUUUGUCAGACAAUUCCAAUAAAAUGUGGACAUAGCUCCAGAUAGGAACUCUUUGUCCAAUUUAAAAAAGAAAUCUUCAGAAAGCUUCCUAGAUUAUGCUAUCAAGUGGUGUGGACAAGCUGCCAGGGUAAAACCCCAAAUGGAUGAGACCGAGAUGGUCAGUGUUUUCUUGUAUGCCCAAGAGGCUGAUUAUUUCCAGAACAUGAUGUCCACUAUAGGCAAUCCAUUUGCAGAAGCCACAAAGAUUGGGGAAAUGGUAAAAAAUGUUUUGAAAAUAGGUUGCAUCUUGAGCCAGUCGGCUAUAAGAGCCACUUCUCAAGCAAUCUAGAGUAGGUCGGGGGUGCAGCAAAUCGGAAAAAGAAAGAAGAAGUAGCAGUGAUGGCCUCAAGUACGAGAAACCCCUGUCAACCCCGAGAUUAAUUUGGUUACUCUUCCAGCACCCCACAACAUUACCACCCUCGCCAAGAUGCGGCAUAUGCCAUGACUCCUUAGCCUUAUGCAAUAAUGAAUGCAUAGCCAUACGCUCGACCGCAACAAUAUUAUAACCAAAACCGAGGUCCACCUCCAAGAAACAACCCUCCUUACCAAGCCACGUAUAAUCCACAUCCUCCACAGAAUAAUUAUCAUAUAACGCCCGUCCCCGUGAGCCAUCCAUAAAAACUAACUUCACAUCCAUCGGUGAAUCAUAUUCCAGCCUCUUCCUAAAGUUGGUCCAAAUGGGUUUUUACAGCCCAUACCUCAAAAUAGGCAAAACCUUCAUACCGACCCGAUACCUGAUGUGCUUAUCAUUCAUGGGCAGAAGUUCAUGACAAUGAGGAUUGCUGGACCCUUAAGAGGGUAGUCGAAAAUAUGAUAGAAUAGAAGUGGGUAGUGUUGAGGGAUGAGGAAGUUCCUAAUGUAGCUAAUAACCCAUUGCGAGAUCACAACAACGGGCCAGUCAUUGGGAUAAUCUGUGAGGACAAAUAGUUCGCCCCAGCUUUGAAAGAUAUCAUUGCUAUUGCUGAUGUAGAAAAGAAACCCAAAGUGGCAGCAAAGCAAGCUAAGGAUGAAAACAAAAACAACUCCACCCCUCAAAGCAUAGAAAAGGUUGUGGAAACCAAGACAGGGGAAGCACCUCCUAAAGAUGUCGUUCUCUAUGUUCCUAGGGCCCUCAGAAAAGAAUAGAUUGUGCUGAGUCCCCCUAAAAGGUUUGAGAAAAACAAGGUUACACUGAAGGUACCAAAGAUGCACGUACCAAAUGGGACCUAUGUGGUGCGGGGGUCGAUAAUUUCAGCCAGGAUGACUGAGCCCGUAGUUAUCAGUCACGUACCGCAGAAUCCCAUGAAGGACCACACUAACAUCCCCUGAAUUUCAAUAAAGCAGUGGUGAUGUAUAAGGGAAAGGAAAUCAUAGAGAGGUCAAUGAAACGUACCCGUCUGGGAAGAACCUCAACUUGGAAGAAUUGAACAAGACAAAAUAGAAGUGUUUUCCUCUUAUAAAGCUAGUCAGUACUGAAGAGACAUAGGAAUUCUUCCAAAAGAUGAAAACCUCGGACGACGCCGUGAUUGAGCAACUCAGAAAGUCCCCCUCUCGGGCUCACUUUUGUCCUUGCUGAUAAGAUCAAAUGAGCAUCACAAAGUGCUAUUAAAGACACUUAAUGAGGCAUAUGUUCAGGCCGAGACCACGGUUGAGAAAUUGGAAAGAAUGGCGAAAUGAUUUUUGAAGUCAACUGGAUCUCAUUCAGCCGAAAUGACUUGCCUAAGGAAGGGGCUUCCCACAACAAAUCUCGUCAUUUGGCCGUUAAAUGUGAAGGAUACUACAUGAAAAGAGAUAUGUUGGAUGGCAGAUUUGGGGUUGACAUUUUCCCUCUCUUGACCUUACAAAGAAUGGAAAUUGGGACUGAAAGGAUUAGACCCAACAAUGUUUGCGUACGUACUUUUGAUGGUGUCAAGAGGGAUACGAUCGAUGGAUUUAUUUGAUCCUAACUAUCAGCCCUGUGGAUUCUGAAGUAACAUUUCAGGUUUUGGACAUGGACACCUCCUACAAUUUUCUCCUAGAAAGGCCUUAGAUCCAUGCUGCAGGAGCCGCACCCCCUACCCUCUACCAAAUGGUUAAGUUUGAACAUGAAGACCAAGAAAUCGUGGUCCAUGGAGAAGAUGAGAAAUCUAUCUGCAAGGACCCGUUAGUCCCAUGUCUGGAGGCUAAAGAAGGUAGCGAGCACAUAGUCUACCAAGCUUUUGAGAUUGUGGUCGUGGACCAGUGUGAGGAAGGAACCCCGUUUCCUCAACCCUUCUUGUCAAACGCGUCAAUCAUGAUCGCCAGUGAAAUGAUCAAACAUGGAUACAAGCCCAAGAAAGGGCUCGGGACAUCUUUUCAAGGCAUUACAGAGCCCAUCACUUUGAUUGGCAGUGAGAAAUUUGGCGUCGGUUUCCAAGCUACAGAAGCUGACGUAAAAUGGGCUGAUGAACAUAAGAACAAUGGGUGGGUUCUGCCUCAGUUAGUUCCUCAUCUCACUAGAACGUUUGUUAAGACAAGGUACAUAGAAGAAGAAGAGGUCUUCACGACCGAAGAAAUUGAGGACAUCUGUGGGGAAAUGAGGCAAAUGUUAUAGAAGUAUCACAUGGUACAACUGGGUGAAGGUUCAAGCACCGCUAAGGUGCAAUAUAUGAGGCCAUAUUCCAAACUUUAAAAUUGGAAGGCUACUAUGUUCCCAGUCAAGCAGGAAUCUCGGUAGUUCAAUCUUACCAUCUUUUCUGCAUUCUGAGUUAUUUUAGUGUGUAACUAAAAUGUUUUUAGUUCAUUGUCUUUUAAAAUUCCAAUGUAAACGCUCGUAUCUUCAAAUUUAAUGAAAUGAAAUCAAUAUUUCAUCAUCUAUGAUUCUCUUUCUGUUUUUUUUAUUUUUCUUAUCUCUUUUUUUAGUUCUAAUAAUGCGGACUUAAAUAACAUGACAUGCUUGCGGACUUUAUGCCCGGAUCUUAAUACACUGUUUAACUGUGAAAUAAUGAAUCAAGAACCAGAUAUGAUGAAGAUGAGGCUUUUAGGGAAAUAAACCAAGAACUGGAACAAUUUGAGAAUAAGCCUAAGCCAAACUUAAAUGAAACUGAGCCAGUUGAUUUGGGUAGUCAGAAGAGGUCUAGGAAACCAUGAUAAGCAUUCAUGCAGAUGAAAGAACUAGAGAUGCGUUGAUCCAACUUUUGUUCGAAUUCAAAGACGUGUUUUCUUGGUCCUAGGAUGAUAUGUCAGGAUUGAGUGUUGAUUUAGUGGUGCAUAAAUUUCCAACUUAUCCCGGUUAUCCACCUGUCCAACAAAAGCAUAGAAAGUUUAAAACGGACAUCAAUGACAAGAUCAAAGAGGAAGUAACCAAACAGUUGAAAGCGGGUGUGAUCCGAGUGGUCCAAUACACCACAUGGUUGGCUAAUGUGGUCCCAAUACCAAAUAAAUAUGGGAAAAUCUGAGUGUAUGUGGAUAAUCGGGAUUUGAACAAAGCAAAACCCAAGGAAAACUUUCCAUUACCAAACAUCCACAUCCUUGUUGACAACUAUGCCAAACAUGAAAUACAGUCUUUCGUGGAUUGUUAUGCUGGGCAUCAUCAGGUUAUGAUGGAUGGAGAAGACACAGAAAAUACAGCUUUUACCACACCUUGGGGUACUUACUAUUAUAGGUUCAUGCCAUUUGGUUUGAAGAAUGCCGGGGAAACUUACAUGAAAGCUAUUACCGCCAUCUUUCAUGACAUGAUGCACCGAGAAAUUGAGGUAUAUAUGGAUGAUGUGAUCAUUAAAUCUGGAAUGCAGGACGUCCAUGUGCGGGAUCUGAUAAAGUUCUUUGAACGUCUGUGCAAGUAUAACUUGAAGUUAUAUCUAGCUAAAUUUGCAUUCGGAGUUCCAUAUCGGAAACUUUUGGGAAUUAUAGUCAGUCAGAGGGGCAUCGAACUAGAUCUAACAAAGACAAAGUUUAUUCAAGAUUUGCCCUUUUCAAGAACCAAGAAAGAGGGUAUGAGUCUGCUGGGUAGGUUGAAAUACAUGAGCAGGUUCAUUGAUCAGUUCACUUCCACUCUGAGCCCAUAUUUAAGCUAUCGAAGAAAGAUGUGGCGAUUAGAUUGACAGAUAAGUGUCAUGAAGCUUUCGACAAAAUCAAAGAAUAUGUGUCGAAUCUGCCAGUAUUGGUCCUGCCAAACCUGGAAGGCAUUUGUUCUUGUACUUGACAGUGUUGGAAAAUUCUUUUAGGUGUGUUCUCAGGCAACAUGAUGCCACCGGAAGAAAGAACAAGCCAUAUACUACUUGAGAAAAAAGUUCACUAGUUAUUAAGCCAAGUACACUUUGUUGGAAAGAACUUGUUGCAUCCUAACAUGAGUCGCUCAUAAGCUAGGAAUUACUUGUUGGAUUAUACCGCCUAUCUCAUAACCAAAUUGGAUCCCCUGAAGUAUAUAUUCCAAAAAAUGAUGCCCUCAGGAAGGUUAGCGAAGUGGCAAAUCCUGCUCACCGAGUUUGACAUAGUCUAUGUCACCCGCACGACAAUGAAAGCUCAAGCCUUGGCAGAUCACCUAGCUGAGAAUCCUAUUGAUAAUGAAUAUCGACCCUUGAGUACUUACUUUUCGGAUGAGUAAGUAAAUUCUGUUAAGGUAAUUCCAGAAGACACUAAUGCUUGGAAAAUGUUCUUCGACGGAGCUGUGAAUACAAAAGGUGUCAGGAUUGGGGAAAUUUUGAUUUUGCCUGUUGGUCAACGCUAUCCAAACACACCCAGGCUUCGAUUCUUUUGUACAAACAGCGCUCUUGAGUAUGAAGCCUGCAUUAUGGGUAUGAGUAUGGCAGUUGACAUGGAUUUGGAAGAAAUGUUAAUGAUGGGAGAUUCUGACUUGAUUAUUCGGCAAGCUCAAGGAGAAUGGGAAACUCGGGACAUCAAUCUUAUCCCAUAUAGGAAAUAUGUGGAAGGUCUUAGUAAACAGUUUAAUUUGUUGAAUUCAGGUACAUCCCUUGAUUCCGUAAUGAGUUAGCUGAUGCAUUAGCUACUUUGGCCUCGAUGUUGCCGUAUCUAGGCAAUGUCCACACUUACCUACUGGAGAUCCAAAUCCGAGAAAGACACGGUUAUUGGAAUACAAUUGAUAUAGAACUAGAUAUUCAGCCAUGAUAUCAUGAUAUCAAAAGAUUCUUGAAAACAAAGGAAUAUCCCGAACAAGCCAGUGAAGAUCAAAAGAGAACCAUCAGAAGGCUCGCCAGUAGUUUCCUUUUGAGCUGAGAAGCCUUGUACAAGAAAACUCCAGAUUUGAACCUUUUAAGAUGCGUGGAUGCCCAAGAGGCUGGAAAAAUCAUAAGUGAAGUGCAUGCGAGAGUGUGUGGACCCCAUAUGAACGGAUACGUCCUUGCAAAGAAAAUCCUUGGGGCAGGUUAUUACGGGAUGACCAUGGAAAAUCAUUGUUUCAGUUUUGUUCGAAAGUAUCAUUAGUGUCAGGUACACAGUGACCUAAUUUAUACACCCCCUUCACAAUUGCAUCCUAUGUCAGCACCAUGGUCAUUCGUUGCUUGGGGUAUAGAUGUUAUUGGGCCAAUCGAGCCAAAAGCUUCAAAUGGGCAUAGAUUCAUCUUAGUUGCCAUUAACUAUUUCACAAAAUGAGUUGAAGCAGUCACUCUUAAAGUUUUCACCAAGUAAGUAGUGGUGGACUUCGUGCAUUCCAACAUUAUCUGUCGUUUUUGUAUUCCUAAGACUAUCAUUAUGGACAAUGUUGCAAACUUGAACAAUCAUUUGAUGAGGGAGGUAUGUGAACAAUUCAAGAUCACGCAUCGGAAUUCUAUCCCGUAUCGGCCUAAAGCUAAUUGUGUUAUUAAAGCGGCGGACAAAAAUAUCAAGAAGAUCAUCAGGAAAAUGAUUCAAAGUUCUAGACAAUGGCAUUAAAGGUUGACUUUUGCAUUAUUGGGAUAUCGCAUAACUGUGCACGCAUCAGUUGGAAUAACACUCUAUCUAUUAGUUUAUGGCACUAAAGCUGUAAUUCCCGCGUAAGUUGAAAUUCCAUCUCUUCAAAUCAUCGUUGAAGCUGAGUUUGAGGACAAUGAAUGGUUCAAGACCCGUCUACAACAGUUAACCAUGAUUGAUGAAAAGCGGAUGGUGGAAAUUUUCCACGGCCAGUUGUAUCAACAGAGAAUGGCAUGUGCCUACAACAAGAAAGUGCGGCCUAGGAACUUUGAAAUGGGAUAACUCAUCUUGAGACGUAUUCUCUCGCAUCAUAAGGAAGAAAAAGGAAAAUUCGCUCCAAAUUGGAAGGGUCCGUAUAUUAUAAGAAAAUUGUUGUCAAAUGGGGCAUUGUACCUAGGAGAUAUUGUAGGAAAUAACCCCGAAAAAGCUGUCAAUGCGAACGUGGUAAGAAGAUAUUAUGUUUUACCCUUCUACGCUGCUAAUAUUCUCCGAUUGGGAUGAUGAAGGAUUUCAUUCUUGCUACCCAAACAUUGUUAACCCUUUGCAAACCCUUUGAGCCGGUUACCAUUCUUUGGUUACCCUCUUUGGAACCCAAAUGUGUGGAAAAAAAAAAGAAAAUGUUUCCUGAACUACGUUCAACUUGAUUCUAAAAGGAUACAUAGGCAGCCUCUCUCUAGGGUUCAGUCACACCAAAAUAAAAUUUCAUAUUUCCCCAAAAGUUGAAAUUGAGGCAGAAGUUAUAAUGGUUCGGCGAUGGUUCGCCUGAAAGGUUCCAAAGUUGUAAUUCAAUCCAAACUCUUUUUACCCAAAUCAUGUUCAAGUCCUUCUGAUCAAUUGAUAAAGAUGUUCAAAAUUGGAGGAUAUGGUUACUUGAAUCUGAUACAGCCAAAUGAGAGAAAUAAAAUGAGAGAGUUUUAUUGGUGAAAACCCACAUGGGCACCAUAGGGCGAUGAUAAGCAAAGAAACUGAAAAUGAGAGAGUCUUGUUAGUAAAAACUCGCAAAGAGAACUAUAUAAUGACAGUGAGAGGAGAAAUGAGAGAGUUCAGUUGGUGAAAACCCGCAAAGGGCGCCACUGAUUGAAAAAAGGAUCCCUUAUAACCAUCAGUACUUAUAGAGUCCUGGAAAGGCUUCUCGGUUUUGAGGUGUGGUUUAUGAUGGGUUUAUGAGAGUUGUAUGGAUCAGUAACCAUCAGUACUGAUAGAGUCCCCUCCAAAAUCUGUAUUCCUUCUUUAUUCAUGUCCCUCAUUUAUCUAAUGUCAAGAUCCUAAACACGAACCCGAUUGUGAUGUCGUCUCUCGUGAAGACAAGGCCAGUUGACACAUUCCCAUUUCAAUAUUAAGCAAUAAAAUAAUAAGUUAUUAAUUCUUAAACAUGAUAACAUCUCAAAAAUAAGCAGUUAACAGUAUAAUUUGCGGAAAAUAAACCCAACACAGCCCAAUACCGGGGUAUCACUAGUCAUGAGCAUCUAUUAAAAUACUACAAGUCUGAAGAGUCUACCAAGCUACUGCAUAAUCAUUAAUAAGGGAAAGGAAAUGUGAUAAAGGGGGAGAAGCAUGGGCCAGCGAACGCCGAGCAGUUACCUCGUGAAUUCCAAAAUCCGUCGGGAGCUCUCAACCCUUGCAAGCAAGAACAACAGUGCCUGAAUCUGCACACUGGGUGCAAGGAGUAAAGUGAGUACUCUAACUCAGCGAGUAAUAAUCAUAAAUAAGGAAUAAGAAAUAUGAAAUCACAUAAGGCAGAUAACAUGCUAUAAGGAAGCAGUAAAAACCAGUAGAAAAAAUGAAGCAGUAAAGAAGUGUAAAGUCACCGAGUUCAAUUCAAACAUCAUAAAAAUGCCUUUCUAGCCAUUAAUCAAGUAAAUAAAUGGAAAAUAGGAAAGAUAAACACAUAAAUGGCACAAUGUCAACAAAUCCGCCCCUCGGGCAAUAUCGUAGAACAAACCAGCCCCUCGGGCUAUAUCUCAUAUCACAAUAGUUACCCGCGCUCACUAGGGGUGUGCAAACUCCUGGAGGGGCCUCUUAUGGCCCAAGCGCAAUAUCAAGUCAUCUCGUAGCGUAUAAAUCUCAGGUCCUCGGCCUCAAAUCAACAAGCCACCUCGUGGCGUAUAAUCUCAGCCUCUCAGCCUCAUAAUCAUAAUCAGUGUAUCCUCACAACACAGGCCCUCGGCCUUGCUCAUUCAGAAUCUCAUAAGUUAUUCGAGCAACACUAAAACAUGAUGCUCAGCCCAAUUAUCAUUUAAAAUUUCCUUUAAUGUAUUAAACCAGAGUAGGCAAUGGCUGAGUUUUGAAAAUAGUAGGAAAUAAUAUGACUGAGUGCAAGUACAAAAUCAGAAUAGUGAGAAAAUAUCAACAAAAAUCCCCUAAUGGUCCAAAUAGUUGGCGAAGCCAAAUGUGGCAUUUAGCCCAAAACAUGAUGAUAACAAAUAGGUUUCGAUCAAAUACACGAUAAAACAGUAAUUUGGGAUGGACUAAGUCACAAUCCCUAACAGCGCACGACCCCACGCUCAUCAUCUAGCCUGUGUGUCACCUCAAUAUAGUACUACGAUGUGCAAUCCGAGGUUUCAUACCCUCCGAACAACAUUGGCAAUAAUUAAUCGCCUGAAUCCGAUCAAAACUCUAGCCCGCUAUGCCUUUGCCCAUCAAAUCGGCCUCCACUUGCGUCGAAUCUGUCAAAAAUCAGAACCACGACUUCAAAAUAUCUAAAGGAACAAAGCCCAAGAAAAAAUAAUCAAAUUACAACAUAAAUCCCGAAAUUACCAAAACCCGACCCUUGGGCCCAUGCCUCGAAAUUCAAUAAAAUUCACACCAAUAGAUUCCUUAACCUUAUCUCCCUGCGAGUUUAUACAUAUCAAAAGUAUUGAAAUCCGACCACAAAUGGUCCUUCAAAUCCUCAAUCAAAGGUCUAAGUUUUCAAGCCCAUGUUUUCCCAAAUUUAAUGCUUAAAUUCUAUUAAUUACAGCCCUAAUCCGUGAAAUAAUAUCAUAGGAAAGACUUUUAGGUCCAAAAAUCCUUACCUCAAUGAAGUGCCCUUGAAAUCCUUCUUCAAAUCGCCCAAAAAGCUCCAAAAACCGACUUAGCAAUGGUGAAAUAGCUCAAAAAUCGCAAAAGAAUAAACUAUACUUUCUAGCCUAGCGAUUUUGCAUCUGCGGCCAUAUUCCUGAUUCUGCAGUACCGUAUUUGCUAUCGUUGAACGCUUCUGCACUUUUUAUUCAAGUCACCCAAAAUCGCAUCUGCGAUACAUUACAUGCACAUGCGCUAUCACAUGUGUGGCUUCUCAACCGCUUCUGUGGCUUUAGACUUCCUAGCUCCUUUCAACUUCUGCGAUUCAAAUCUCUCUUCUACAAGACUGCACUUGCAAUCCCCUAGCCGCAGCUGGGGUUAUGACAGUAAUGGGAAACUUCAGCUGUCACAACCAACUCCAAAUCUUUCCACCAACCAUCCGAAAUCACCUUAAGGCUCCCGGGACCUCAACCAAAAGCACAAAGAUAUUAUAUACCAGCACCCAAACUUAUAACAAUCUUUCAAACACCUCAAACAACAUCAAAUCAACCAAACACAUCAAAUUCAAGCCUAAGAAUUCAAAAAUCUUCUAAAUUACGCUUUUUAUCAAAAGGCCAACUAAACCACGUCCGAAUGACCUGAAACUUUACACAUACAUCCAAAAAGACACAACAGAACUACUGCAACUAUCGAAAUUCCAUUUUGGCCCCUAUAUAUAAAUCUCACCUAUCAACCGAAAAAUGCCAAAAAUCCAAUUUUGCCAAGUCAAGCCUACUCCGGACCUCCAAAAUAUAUUCUGAUCACGCUCCUAAAUUUUAAAUCACCUCCCAAAGCUAUCCGAUCCAUAGGAACUCAAAUCCGAGCCCUCUAACACAUAAGUCAACAUCCGAUUGACUUUUCCAACUUAAGCUUUCAUAAAAGAGACUAAGUGUCUCAAACCUUCUCAAAACCUUUCUGAACCCGAGCCAACCAAACCGAUCAUUAUAGAACCAAUAAUAUGAAGUAAUAAUAAGCAAAAAUGGGAAAAACAUAGUGGUAACUCAUGAGAUGACUGGUCAGGUCGUCAUAUCUGAAAAGCUGAAGAAAAAAUAAACCAGCGUUCGCAGCUAACGGACAUCAAGAUUCAUAUCAUAGUCUGCAGGAAGAACCAGCCAAGACUCAUGAUCAAGCUCCAGUAGGUUUGUAGAUAAGAAUCUUGUAACUCGUAGUUAUAGGCUUAGUUAGUUAGCUUUUUUGUUUUUUAUUUUUGGUGUAAUAAGGAGCUCAGCAAGCAGAAACAUCAGCAACAGCAGUGAAAUCACAGUUUUUCGGUAAUCCCAGCUACCAAACUUCCAGAACUACACUGACCUGAUUCUUUUAUAGCCAAUGAUAUGUAGGCAACCUCCAAAGCAAGGUGCAGUUAGAUUUUUCCUAAAAAUGCUUCCCAGGGAGUAUUUAGACGGGCAAAAAUCACUCGUAACUGCUCAUUUAUCCUUGUUCGAAAACUCUUCGUGCUUCUGUGACCAUUUUAUUUGUGCCUUACUAAAAAUACUCCUACAAAAUAGAAAUAGAUUUUUUCAAAAUUGAUUUUAAUUUUGUAGGAUUUUAUUAAUUUUUUGCAUUUUUAUGCACGUUUAAUUUUGUUAAAAUCAUGAAAAAUGCCCCAAAAAUGUCAAAUUCAUGCAUUUCAUAUUAGGUUUUGUGUUCAUAUUUUAGGAUUAAUUAGUUAAUUAAUUGCUUUAUUAAAAUAAAAAUCACAAAAUAAAGAAAAAGAAAUGGGAUAAACAACUUGGGUUUUCUUAUAUUGGGCCACCCCAAAGAGGAAAAUACAAUGGCCCAAAUAUUAUUUUUUGUCCAAUUCUGCCUCAACCCAAUUAAAGGCCAACCGUUCCGGUUCCUCCGUUAUCAAACGAUAUCGUUUAACCCCCUCUAAUAUCAACCAUUGUAUCAUUUUUAUUCAACGGCUCGGAACUGUUCACCUAUUUCCCUUAAACCCCUAAACCCCUAAAUCUGAUUCAUUUCACCUAUCUCCUAUCUCAAACAAAGAAAUCCUAGCCGUUCUAGGAUUCCCCACCGUCUUCGCCGUGGUACGCCGAUCGAAAAUCGCCUCAUGAUGGCAGACCAUCUCCAAACUCUACCAAAUUAACACCCCAUAAUCGUCUCUUCUUCUUCUUUCCAUAUAUCACUAUAGUUCCUUUCAAACAAGUCCAAAAUUUCUCGAAUUUUAGAUCUAAGACUCUAAUUUUUCCUUUUUGAUUUUCGAUCAGUUUCUGGGUUGGUUGAACCCAUGACAUCCAUAUUCCAGUGUUCUUGUUAAAAAUAGUUGAUUAAUAGUCGUCCAAGUUAAUUUUUUCCCAUAAAAUUGGUUGAGUCCAUUACUGGUCCGUCCCAAAAAGAUAGCCUUAGGUAAUUUCUUUCCUUUUUUGUUUAUUUUAUCUUUUUUUUUUCUUUCAUGUUUAGUUUCUUUUUUAGCUUGCAUGAUUUAGGUAAUUAUAAUGUUAGGUCUUUUCCUGUUUUAUCUUGUCUUUUGUAUCCGUUUGUUUAGGCCAAUAGAAAAUAUGCUGAAUUUCAUCGUUAUCUGAAGUCUAGUUUUGAUUGCAUAAAAUUUAGGCUAAUUAGGGUUAGCUUUUAGGUUCUGUUAUAUCACAUGACUGUUUCAUUUUUCUCAUUUUUCUGCGGAUUGUUUCUCUCUUGCAUUCAUUUGUUUUAUAUAUUAGGUUGAUUAGAAUAGUUUUAGUUGAAUACAAACAAGGGUAAUUGACAAGCUGCUUGUUUAACUAUAAGAAAUAUUAGCUUAGUUGGUUAAUUUGUUCGAUUCAAUCACUUGCAAACUGAGUAGGUUAAUUUCUAGAGGUUCUUUGCAUCAUCAAUCUAGUUUUGUUUGGUUACUAUUUUGGAUAUGAGUUUUAAAUCCGGUUUUCUUAUUUAAGGUUAAGGUUUAGAUUGCUUGAAUUAAACCCUAGACGCCUUAAGCUUAAAAUUAAUUUUGGAAUUGAAGGGUAGUACCCCAAAUUUGUAAGGUGGUACAACUAAAACAAUGUUAGGAAGUUCAAUUCUCGAAUCUUCUAGAUUGUUCUAGGAGGUUCUACAAGGGUUUUUGAAAUCAAAAUUUAGGUCAGAAUUGGUAAGAAUUUAAAUAAUCAGUACUUGAAAGGAUAAAAUUGAAUUUUUACAAAGGUUAAACUAUCAGAAUUUCUAGUAUGGGACAGCAGCCCCAUUCUUAGCAUGUAAAUGCUGAAAUUGGGUGGGAAAAAGGACAGACUGCUGUCUAAAUACGUAGUACUAUCUGACACUUAGGGAAUUUAGGUUAAAAUAUACCUUUUUGAUGUUAUUUUAUAUACCAUAUAAAAGGAUAGACCUUCCCUCAUUUUGGACAGAAUUCAUUAGCAUAGCUUGACCUAAACUUUAAAAUACAAAGCAAAGAUCCCUGAAAUUUUUCUGGCUAAAAACUUCAGUUUUCUAGUUAGAUUUCUAGGCUAAUUUUUCUGAUACUCUGAUUUUUUGAGAAGUUUGAGUGCUGGUUCUUGGUUUUCUGGAUUGGUUUCUGCUAUUGUUGUUUGGUUUUGGUUGCUACUCCAUCUCUAUGUUUUUAGUCAAGGUACUGAUUUCAGCUCUCCUCAUGUAUUGCUUUGUUUGAAUAUUAUAAGACCAAAAAUUAUAAAUUAUACGUAAUGAAUGAGUAUUUUCUUUCAUGAAGUAGUUGCUUAUAUUUUUAUGAACCUAGCUAUGUCAAUUUAGAGGUAAAAAUAAUUUGGUAAAAGCAACUUGGUUAAUACAUUGAUGAUUCUAGUUUUUCUCUUAAUAUUGAUUUUGUUUGAAGAUGCUUCUUUAAAUUAAAUGUUCACCAUGUUAAAUAUUGAAUAUGAGUGCCAGCUAUUGAAUUUGUUUCUUUUUCUGCUUCUACUGAUUGAUGAAUGAUAUGGUAUUUUUAUUUGAGGACAUGUUGCCUAUAGGGUUAUAACUUGUGAAUUUGGUCACUAGUUCGCCAAAUUAGCAUGUUUUAAAGCCAAAAGCUGGAACUUGGUUGUUACUAUUAUGCAAAAAUUGGCGGCUUCAUGUGGUAAAUUAAGCCUUGGUUGGAUCAGUGAUAUCUAAAAAGGGCAAAAGUUCACUAGGUUGUCCAUUUUCCCAAAUAUUGUGAUAGAAUUAGUUGAUGAAUUCUUCUCAUAUAAUUCUAAUAUAAUAGAUUAGUUAAUCAGAAAGUCAACCUAUACCCAACUUUAAAUUUAAUGAAUCUCCCUUAUCAUUGAGAUAUAAACUCUAAAAGAUAUUUUUAAUAGUUUCAACAACAACCAAUCCAAAAAAAAAAUCAUAAAUUCAUAAAAUCUGAAUAUCUAAUUCAAAAUUUCGAAGCUUUUUAAUGAUAUGUCAAUAGAAGACUCCUCCACCUACAAUUUUAGAGAUAAUGUUGAUGUAUUUUUCAAUAGCUGAAGCUUUUUACUGGUUGUUGAUGCAAUUGAUUUAGAUAAAUAUAUGAUGCUACAAUUUCAGAGAGAUAAUAGUUUGAUUUGUAUAAGGGAGAGAGAGAGAUAUCGGUUGAUUUGUAUGAAAGAGAGGUGAUGAUUUUAAAUAAGUACAAAGACAGAUGAUGUUUUGUAAUCCUUUAAAAAAGGAAGAGUAUCUUAAAUGUAGGGGGAAUAUGUGUAACUGAUACACAGUAUUUAAGGUAUGUUUCAUUUCCCCCUUUUUAUGGUUUUGUAUAAAACUAGUAACGAUGAGGCUAGAACAGACUACCAAAUAAACAUGUACGGUUAAAUUAUAUACAUCGAAAAUGGAAGCAGAUAAUUAUGACUAAAGUUGGGCGGGGGAAACAUGCUGCAGGGAGUAAAACAUAACAACAGAACAACGAUAGAGAAAUAUAAGGAAAGCUAUAACUCAAUUACCAGCAAAGAUAAGGAAAUAAGAAGAACAAGUACACAUAUAAUACCGUUGCAGGCGUGCAAUCCGAUCCCAUCUCAUAUAGUACCGCUGCAGGCGUGCGACUCGCUCCCAUUUCAAAUUGUACCAUCGCAGGCAUGCAACUCACUCCCAUUUCAUAUAUUACUGUUGCAGGCGUGCAACCGGUCCAAUUCAUAUAAUUACCAUUGCAAGCGUGCAACCCACUCCCAUUUCAUAUUAUUACCGUUGCAGGCAUGCAAUCGCUCCCAUUUCAUAUAUUUUCGUUGCAAGCGUGCAACCCGCUCCCAUUUCAUAUCUUACCAUUGCAGGCGUGCAACCUGCUCCCUUUUCAUUUAUCAAUACCAAUCAUAACAGAAUCCCGGCUAGGGAAUAAUAAUAUAACAAUAACAUCCCGGCAAGGGAACAAUAUUAUAACAAUAACAUCCCGACAAGGAAAUAAUAAUAUAACAAAAACAUCCUGGCAAGGGAACAAUAAUGAUAAUCCACAUAUGAAACAAAAUAAACCUCAACGGAGUCACAACAAUUACAACACAAGACCCACGAAUAUGAUUGACACUGACAUAUAGAUACUCGUCACCAUACCUAUACGUCGUACUCCACAAUUAGCACACACCAAAUAAGACACAACUUCUAAUCCCUCAAGCUAAGGUUAGACCAAACACUUACCUCGAUGCCACGAACAUAAUUCAAGCCUCAACUAUUGCUUUACAUCUUGAUUCCACCACCAACUCACACGUAUCUAGUCACAAGUUACUUAAUAAUAUUAAUAAGUGCUAAAUGAAUCAAUUAUAAUGCAUGGCUUUCUAAAGUUUUUUCAAAAAGUCAAAAUUCGAUCCCGGGCACGUUUGGUCCAAACCCAAAAUUUGGAUCAAAACCUAAUUACCCAUUCACCCCCGAGCCCGGAUAUAUUAUUAGUUUUGGGAUCCGACCUCAGUUUGAGGUUUAAAUCUCCAAAUUUUAAUAUUAUUACGUUUUACCCAAUAUUCCCAAUUCCACCAUGAAAAUAUUAGAUUCUAGUAUGAUAUCUUAUAAAAAGAAGUUAGGGAACAAAGGAAAUGAGCUAGAGAUCACUUACUAAUAUUUUAGAGAAGAAAGGUUGUUUGAAAAAUCACCUCUUAUAUUUUUGGAAUCUUAAAAAAUACAAAAUAACUGAAAAUCCUGUUUAAAUAUACCCCCGUCAGAAACCCCCCCCCCCAUGCGGACCGUAUAAAAAGAAAUGCGAUCGCGGAGCUAAAAAUGCUUACUGCAGUAACAUACAUUAGUAUUUUAACAUAAACAUUGCUUACAAAUGUCCAAAUUGCAAUUUCAUUAGCUUUCUUGAACUAGACACGACAGGCUACAACCUUUGUUUUUGAAUUAUCUCAAAAUUCUUUAUAUAUCAAAAGAUAUAUGCUUCCGAAGUUGGACUAGUGAACCUAUGCGGAUCACACAAAAUCGAAUGCAGUCGCACAGCCACCACCGCGUACCGCACAAAAAGGAGUGCGGCCGCAAAGGCUCCUCAGUGGUCAGCAUAAAAUCAAUGUUGCCAGCACUUUGCGUUCAAUGAUUUGCAACAUCUCUGGACCUGCAACAACUACGGUUUAAGCCUAAAAUAUCUCGGAACCUACCCGAGUCUCUCCCGAGCCGUCAGAACUUCAAACCAAACAUGCAUACUAAUUCAAAAAAAUAUCAUAUGGACCUACUCGUGUGAUCAAAUUAUUAAAAUAACAUGUAAAAUCAUGAAUAAACCUCAAAAUUCAAUAUUUUCAACAAGAACUCUCAAAGUUUAUAACUCUUUAGCUGGAAGUCCAACUCACGUCAAAUAAACUCCAUUUUCACCGAAUUUCACAGUUAUCUUUUAAAUACUAUAACAAGUUUUUACCGUAUUUUGAAACCAAAAUACGGGUCUGAUACCAAUGGUUUCAAACAUUAUUGAUUUCUUCAUUUUCUUAGUAAUUCAGUAAAAUAAUAUCUUUCAAAAAUUGAUUUCUUAGGCUUGAUACCUCAGAAUUUAUUUCCAGCCAUACGCCCAGGUCUCAUAUUUUAUUGCGGAGCUUCCGGUAUCGUCGGAACACAGCUCUGGGUCUGUUUGCUCAAAAUAUUGAUCAAAAUCAACCAUAAUCAAAUUUUAACUCUAGAAAUUUCUAUUUCUCAUAUUUUCACAUAUAAUGCUUUCCGAAUAUAAGUCCGAACCAUGCAUGAAAAUUAAGGUGAGGUAAAAAGGAGGUUCUUAGGCCCCAGAACAUUAAAUUUACUUGCAACACAAGUGAUGACCUUUUGGGUCAUUAUAUCUUAUCUAUUUUCUUGUUUUAUAUUAUUCUUUGAGCUAAGUUUCUUAACACAUUAUCAGUACGAAUAUCUAAUUUCAUUUUUCUCACCAUCUCCAAGUUUAUAUAUACACCUUUAGAUUUCCAAUUGCCAUAACUUUGGAAGUUGCUGCAUAUUUGGUAUUUCGUUGAUGCACAUGAUAGUUUUGAAGCUUGGAGUUUUGGUAUGUACUAUGUACAUAAUUUUAUUUUGAACAGAGGAUGAGGUAUAUUCCUAUUUGUUUUAUUCUAAUUCAACAAGUAUACAUUAAUGUCAUUAGAAAUAGCAGCAUGGUCCAUGACAUAAUUCUUUUGCCUUUAUUUGCCUCUGUUUAAAUUGCCAAGGGUUUCUAAAGUAGUGCUACAUGUUCUUUUCUGAUACAAUUUAGAAGAAAGUAUUAUUUAGAAAAAGGAGAUAUGCUAGUCCUUGAUUUAUAUGAUCUCAUGCUCUAUGUACUGUUAAGACCGAUAAUCAUUUUUUUUCAACACAUUAGUUGAGGAUAAUGCAAAUCUUAUCGUGUCCAUACAAAAUCACAAAUAUCAUAAAUGGACACAUUAGCACUCAUAUGAUAUAUAAUUAAUGUAUUUAAAAUAAAAAAAUAUCUUGGACCUUUAUUUUAAUCUUGCUUGUUGUGUCAAAAAAAAUUAUUUUACCUACAUUAAGAGGUUACUACUAUGGGUCCAUUGUUUUCUAAUAAGUCUUGCAAGAAGACUUCCACUGAAAUGAUUAAUUAGUGAUAAUCCCUUUGAAUAUCGUACUUGAGGAAACAAGGUCUAUUCCCUUUUGUCUAUAUUAUUUAUUUUUUUAUACUACCAUGUCAUCCAGUAUUAUAAAACAGUAAUUUCAGGUGUUAUUUUGCAUGAUAUACAGUUUCAGAUUUACUUGCACUAAUUAUUUUAUUGAGGUGAUGAAGAAAAAUUAUGAAAUCAGAUCCAAUGGGCACUGUUAAGAGUACUCCUGAAAGGUUCGAGGGUGAGGCUCAGAUGCACUUUGGCAUAUUAUGGUAUAGGUUGAGUGUAAGACGGUGGAUUCAAGUCUCAUCGCAUGAGGGUAAGACACUAGAUUUAAGUCCUGUGCACCAUGAUGAUAAGAGUUGGGUUCGAGUUUCAAUGCAUUAUAGCCUCACGCGCUUUUAUAUGGGUAAGAUAUUGGGAUUGAGUCCUAAUGCACCAUAUUCGUGAUAUAAUAAUGACUAAAGAAAAAUAAUAUAUUUUUCAUGAAAAAGCAUGAAGCUUGUCUCACUUGAUUUGCUCCAUUCUUGAAGUGAAUGUGAUAGUUGUUUUUAAAAUAAAUUCUGCAUUUCGAGGUCUUAAAAACCUCUUUUAGCUUCACCUCGAUUUGCGUGUGCAGUCCAGGCCCAUAGCCGGAAAGCUAUUAUGUGAAAAAUAUUGAAAUUUUUGCCCAAAAUACAUUUAAGCUGACUUUAUUCAAUAAUUUUGGAUAAACGGAUCUGGCCUUGUGAUUUGACGAUUUUGGAGGGUCAGUAAAAAAUACGGGACUUGGGCAUAUGCUCGGAAUUGAAUUCCGAGGUCCCAAGUCCGAAAAUAAAUUCUUAGAAGAACAUGUUUUCUGAAAAAUAUAAAGGUUUUUGAAAGUGAAAUGUUAUAUGAAACUUGUGGUAUCAGGCUCGUAUCAUGGUUCCAAAGCCCGGUACAGGUCCAAUAUGAUUUAUAUGUGUUGUCGGUAAAGUUUGGUAAGAAACGGAAUCCAUUUGACGUGGUUCGGGUCUUAAAUGCAAAUUUUGAUGUUUAAAGAAGUUUUGAGAAAUUUCAUUGAUUUUAAGGUUUAACUAGAUGUUCAUGAUGUUAUUUUGGUGAUUUGAUUACACAAAUAAGUCCGUAGGAUAUUUUUGAGGUUGUGCCUAUGUUUGUUUUGGAGUCCGGAGGGCUCGGGUGUGUUUAGGAUUAGUUUUGGGAAGUUUUGAACUCAUAAAAAGUUGCAGGGCUUUGCAGUUCAGUGCCUAGGGAUUUUUUUCUUCGCGUUCGCGUGGGACCACUCGCGAAUGCGUAAGGAAAAUCUCCCAGGUGCCAAAUUUCUUGUUCGUGAAUGUGAAUCUGGUGACACGAACACGAGGCUAAAGGGGGAAUACCCUUCGCAAACGUGACCAAGCACUCGCGAACACGUAAGGUAAAGGAUGGGGGAGGGGUUCACAUUUUACUCUACGCGAACGUGGCCACAGGCCUGCGAACGCGAAGUCUCGAGGGGUCAAAGCUCCGUGAAUGCGAUCCCAAUGUCGCAAACGCGAAUGUCUCACCGGCCAAGCUCAUCGCAAGAACGAUGAGCCUGUCACGAACGCAUAGACCAAUUUCGUGCAGUUAUUUUAAAGUUCAAAAACAGAAUGCAUUAUAGAAAUUCCUCCAUUUAUUCAUAAACUUCAUCUUCUCCACACCUCUUGGGCAAUUUUUGAAGAGGAACUUCACCAUAACUUUAAAUGCAUGAAAUCCUAAGCUCGUUUUCUUCCAUUUUUAUCAACAUCUACUAGAUUUCUAGGCCUAAACAUGAUAUUACGGGUAAACAAUUAGGGAUUUGAGUAGAGUUAGGACUUUUUGAUUAUUUGAGAAUUUGACCUCAUUUUGGUGUCGGAUUUCAAAACAAACUAUAUAUUCAGGCUCGUGGGUGAAUUGGUGGUCGAAUUUUGGUCCGUACCUCGUGUUUUGACCAAGCAGGGGCCUAGAUCAUUUUUUAGAUUUUUGGAAAGAAUGUUUGAAAAGUUAUAAGUAAGCAUUAGAAUUGGAUUGUUUGGCAUCUAUUACUGUUAUUAAGUCGAUUAUGUCUAGAUACGUUUAAUUUGGAGCCAAAUUUGAAAGGGAAAGCGGUGCUUGAGGCUUGAGUUGGCCGUGGAAGUUCGAGAUAAGUGUUUGGUCUAACCUUAGCUUGAGGAAUUAGGAGUCGAGUCGUAUUUGCAAUGUGGUAUUUGAUGAGUACGACGUACAGGCAUGGUGACGAGUAUCUAUACGUUGGUGCCCGUGAAUCUUAUAUUGUUAUUUUCGUGACUUCGUUGUAUUAUUCAUGCCUUGGUGAAGAAUUCUAUUUAUUAUGCAAAGCUUGUGGAAGUAAUUAUGACACUUGAAAUUUGAGGAGCGUCGGCUCGAGUUGUAUAAUGAGAAGUGAAUGUAUAAGUGAUAAUUGAACCUUUAGAGAAUUGGUUCGAGUUGUGAAGUGAAUUAUGAAGUAAAAGUAAGAAAGCGAAAGAGAUCAUUAUGUUAUCUCCCUUCCCUGGAUGUUCAUAUUAUUGAUGUUGUUCCUUUUCCGGGACUUAAUUGUUGAAUUGUUGUUGCCGGGACUUAAUUGCUGAAUUGUUGUUCCCUUGCUAGGAAUUCUUAUUAUAACCUCAUUUAUUUCUUUGCCUAUUGUUUGUAUUGUUAUUUGGGCGAGGAAGAGAGUUAAAGCACGAAGGGUGAUGCCAUGCAUUAUUUUUUAAUGAGGAAAGAGUGUAAAGCACGAAGGGUAAUGCGUGUAUGAAUGUGAGGAAAGAGUACAAAGCAUGAAGGGUGAUGCCAUGCUGCACGAUGUACCAUUUCGUGCCGAUUAUAUUGAUUAUAUGGUGAGGAAAGAGAGUAAAAGCACGAAAGGUGAUGUCGUGUAGUUAUUGAUGCCUGGUUCUUUGUUGAUAUCCGAGUUAUAUUAUUUCUCUCGUUUACUUGUUGUCUUUAUAUUUGAAACUGAUAUGUCCCUGCAGCAUGCUCCCCCUCCCAGACUUGACUAUUUAAUUUUGUAAUUCUUUUUUGUUGUAUAUAUUCAAAUUGCAGAGGUUCAUUUGGUAGUUUGGUCCUAGCCUAGUCACUACUUCACCGAGGUUAGGCAAGGAACUUACUACCACAUGGGGUCGGAUAUGCUGAUACUACACUCUGCACUAUAUGCAGAUCCCCGAGCAGCUCUUGGACCAUAGUUUGGAGGCUACCUUCAGUCCACACAGAGAUCCAAGGUAGACCUACAGGCGUCCGCAGACCCUGGUGUCUCCCUAUAUCCUUAUUUCCUAUUUAAUUUUCCUUAUAUUAAGAAACAAUGUAUUGAUAUUUUCUUCAGACUUUGUAUGUAGUAAAUCUUAGAUCGUCUGUGACAUCAGGUUUUGGUGUGAUUAAGGCUUGAGCAGAUGUAAUAGAUGUAGAUUUCAGAUAUUUUUUUAUUUUCUUCCACUUAAUUUAAUUUUUUCGUUGUUUAUACAUUAUCGCUUUAUACUUAUUAAAAAGGAAAUAAAUGGAUAAUGAAGUUACUAGUUUAAAGCAUUGGCUUGCCUAGCUCAUAUUAGUAGGCGCAAUCACGAUUCUCGAGGGUGAAAAAUCCAAAUCGUGGCAAGUUGGUAUCAGAGCUCUAGGUUACAUGGGUAUUACAGUUUACAGACAAGCUUAGUAGAGUCUGAGGGAUUGGUACGGAGACGUCUGUAUUUAUCCCCAGAAGCUGCAGAGUUAGGAAACACUUCACAUUUAUUCUUUCUUGUCGUGCAGUUUGGUUUCUCAAUGCUGAUUGAAUUUCUAUUCUGUUCUCUCACAGAUGCCGAUAAUACGUGCUUCCUCUUCCACUGACCAGUAGCCCAAGCCCCCAGUAGCGGCUCCAACGAGGGGCAGAGGGUGAGGCAGAGGCGGUGCUAAAUGUCGAGGUAGGGGCAGAGCUCAGCCCAGGGCACUAGCACCAACAACGGAGCCUUAGGUUGACUUUGAUGAUAAGAUUCCAGCCCCAGCAGUUUCGGUGGGCCUAGCUCAGGUCCCAGAUGGGUUUAUUGCUACCCCAUACUCCGGUAUGCUCUGGUCCAUCUAGUGGGCCUUAUGGAGAGUGUCACCUGGGCAGGCUUGCUUCUUGUAGCACAACCGUCUCUCAGGCUGGAGGAGGAGUCCAGACUCCUACUAAUCGCACUCCGGAGCAGAUAGCUCCCCAGUUUAAGACUCUAGCAGUUCAUUUAGUUGGAACGGUUCAGCGGGAGUAGUAGCUUAGACCGAUGAUGGAGCAUCUAUGUCUGCCGAUGCUUUAUGAAGGUUUGAUAGGUUCACCAAGCUCUUCACUACUACUUUCAGUGGUGUAUCUUCUGAGGAUCCCUGGAUUAUCUAGACAGCUGUCAUGAGGUUCUUAGGAACAUGGGGAUAGUUGAGACCGACCCCUUUGCUACUUUUUACUUGUCUAGAUCCGCCAAGAUGUGGUAGAGAGAUUAUUGCUUAGCUAGACCAGCCGGAUCACCAACUUUGACUUGGGAGCAGUUUACGCAGCUACUUUUGGAGAAGUUUCUCGCUAUCACUUAGAGAGAGGCCUAUCAGAGGCAGUUUGAGCUUUUCUAGCAGGGGUCUAUGACUGUUACCCAGUAUGAGACCAGAUUCAUCGACUUGGCUCGUCAUAUUCUUAUCAUACUUACCACUAAGAGAGAGAGGGUGGGGAGGUUCAUUGAUGGGCUUAUUCAGCCGAUUAGUCUUCAGAUGGCUACGGAGACUAGGAUGAGAAAUCUUUCCAGGAGGAGGCCAAUGUGGCCUCAAGAGUGAAGAUGGUUCUGUCAUAGGGAGGUUUUCAUGGGUCGAACAAGAGGCCCCUCCAUUCAGGCCGAUUCAGUGGUACCUCAUCUGGAGGCAGGGAUUCAUAUGGUAGAGACCAUCCUCCUAGGCUUUUUCAGUCAGCACUUUAGGUUUCCCAUAGUGCCUCAGGUGGUCGUGGUCCUCAGAUGUAGUAUUCUAAUCAUCAGUCUUAUAGUUCACCCCCAGCUCUUAUCAAUGCAUCGAUGCUUCAGAGUUUUCGGGGUGGUCAUUCAGGUUGUUAGGGUCAGCAGCCGAGGGCUUGUUACACUUGUGGUGAUAUGGUGUCAUAUUGUUAGGUUCUUCCCUCGAGCACCGAGUAGCUCUCCGCAUCAGGGUUCCCGUGCCAUGGUCCAGGCGUCAGGUGUUCCGCAGCCUGCCCAACCAGCUAGAAGUGGGGGUAGAGGUGCUAGAGGUAGAGGUAGAGGUAUUAGAGGUAGAGAUCAGGCUGCCAGAGGUGGAGGCAAGCCGGCAACAGGCCUUCCCAAAGAUGUAGUUCAGGGUGGUGGGACCAGCCCCGAUGUUAUGCCCUUCCAGCCAGGCCCGAGGCUGAGGCUUCAUAUGAGAGAUGCUUCUAUGUUAUUUGAUCCAGGGUCUACCUACUCGUAUGUGUCAUCUUAUUUUGCAGCGUAUCUGAUCAUGCCUAGCGAUUCUUUAAGUGCUCCUGUUUUUGUGUCUACAUUGAUGGGUGAUUCUAUUGUGGUAGAUCGAGUCCAUCAUUCAUGUAUAGUUAUGAUUGGGGGUCUUGAGACUCGUGGGGAUUUGCUUCUUUUGGGCAUGGUUGAUUUCGAUUUCAUAUUGGGAUGGAUUUUCACCUAACCACGCUAUCUUGGGUUGUCAUGCCAAGACUAUGACCUUAGCCUUGCUGGGUUUGCCUCAUUUAGAGUGGAGAAGCUCCUGGUCAUUCUACCCGUAGCGUUAUCUCAUAUGUGAAGGCUCUGCGUAUGGUCGAAAAGGGGUGUUUGUUCUAUUUGGACUAUGUUUGUGAUUCUAGUGCUGAGGUUCCAUCUAUUGAUUCUAUGCUCGUUGUUCGUGAGUUUCCUGAGGUAUUCCUUUAAGACCUGCUGUGUAUGCCACCCGAUAGGGAUAUUGACUUUUGCAUUGAUUUGGCUCUGGGAACUCAGCCUAUUUCUUUUCCGCCGUAUCGUAUAGCCCCGCCAGAGUUGAAAGAGUUGAAGGAGCAGUUGCAAGAAUUUCUUGAAAAGGGUUCCAUUAGGCCGAGUGUUUUGCAUUGGGGUGCACCGGUGUUGUUUGUUAAGAAGAAGGACAGAUCGAUGAGAAUAUAUAUUGAUUACCGGUAGUUGAAAAAGGUUACAAUCAAGAAUAAAUAUCCAUUGUCGAGGAUUGAUGAUUUGUUUGAUCAGCUUCAGGGUGCGAAGGUAUUUUCGAAGAUUGACUUGAGAUCUGGCUACCAUCAAUUGAGGAUUAGGACAUCUGAUGUCCCUAAGAUAGAUUUACGCACUCGGUAAGGGCAUUAUGAGUUCUUGGUGAUGUUAUUUGGGUUGACAAAUACCCCAGCAACGUUUAUGGAUUUGAUGAACCGAGCGUUUAGGACUUUUCUAGAUUCAUUCGUAAUAGUCUACAUUAUUGAUAUUUUGAUGUAUUCCCGCAGUCGGGAGGAGCACGAGCAGCACCUUCGAGUGGUUCUUCAGACUCUGAGGGCUAGUUAGUUAUAUACUAAGUUUUCGAAGUGUGAGUUCUGGUUGAGUUCAGUUGUAUUCCUAGGUCAUGUUGUAUUAGUAGAGAGUAUUUAGGUUGAUCCAGAAAAGAUUGAGGCAAUCAAGAACUGGCCUAGACCAGCAUCAGCUACAGAGAUUCGGAGUUUCUUGGGGUUGGCAGGCUACUAUCGUUGGUUUGUAUAGGGGUUUUCAUCUAUCGCAGCCCUGAUGACCAGGUUAAACUAGAAGGGUGCCUAGUACAGAUAGUCGAACGAGUGUGAGGCAAGCGUUCAGAAGCUCAAGACAGAUUUGACUACGGAACCAGUGUUGGUUUUUCCCACAGGUUUAGGGCCUUAUACAAUUUAUUGUGAUACAUCUCGUAUUGGUCUUGGUGCAGUGUUGAUGCAGUAUCACAAGGACAUUGCAUAUAUGUCAUGGUAGUUGAUGAUGUAUAAGAAGAACUACCUGGUACAUGAUUUGGAGUUAGCAGUCAUUGUUCACGCAUUGAAGAUUUGGAGGCAUUAUCUGCAUGGUGUGGCAUGUGAGGUGUUCACGGAUCACAAGAGCCUGCAGUAAUUUUUCAAGAAGAAGGAGUUGAAUUUGAGGAAGAGAAGGUGGUUGGAGUUGUUAGAAAAUGAUUUCACCAUCUUAUAUCAUCCGGGAAUGGCCAAAUUGUUGGUCGAUGCUUUGAGUAGAAAGUCAGAUAGUAUGGGCAGUUUUGCUUAUAUUCUGGUUGGUGAGAGACCGCAUGCUUUGGAUGUUCAUGCCUUGGCCAAUCAGUUUGCGAGGCUAGAUGUUUCUGAUCCCAAUCGUAUGUUAGAUUGCACGGUCGCUCAUUCUUCUUUACUAGAGUGUAUCCGUGAUUGGCAGUAUGAUGAUACUCAUUUAUGUGUCCUUAGAGACACGGUGCAUCACGGAGAUGCCAAGCAGGUUUCCUUAGGUGAUGAUAGAGUUUUGAGAUUGCAGUGUUGAGUUUGUGUUCCCAAUGUGGAUGGACUUCAAGAGUUGAUUUUAGAGGAGGCUCAUAGCUCCCAAUACUCUAUUCAUCCGAAUGCCGCGAAGAUGUAUCAGGAUUUACGGCAGCAUUAUUGGUGGAGGAGAAUGAAGAAGGAUAUCGUUGCAUAUUUGGCUUGGUGUUUGAAUAGUCAGCAGUUUAAGUAUGAGCAUCAGAGGCCCGGUGGUUCAUUUCAGAGGAUUGAUAUUCCUGAGUGGAAGUGGGAGCGUAUUGCUAUGGACUUUGUUAUUGGACUCCCACGGACGUAGAGGAGGUUCGAUGUAGUGUGGGUUAUUGUUGAUAGGCUGACCAAGUCAGUGCAUUUCAUUCACGUGGAAGUCUCCUAUUAUUCCGAGAGAUUAGCUGAGAACUAUAUCCGAGAGAUUGUUCGCCUUCGUGGUGUGCAUGUGUCUAUUAUUUGGGACAGAGGCGCACAGUUUACCUCAUAUUCUUGGAGCGCAAUUCAGUGAGAGUUGGGUACAUGGGUUGAGUUGAUCAUAGCAUUUCAUCCUCAAGCGGACGGGCAGUCCGAGCGGACAAUUUAGAUUAUAAAGGAUAUGCUCCGAGCUUGUGUCAUUGGCUUUAGAGUCUCGUGGGAUUAUGUUUUGCCUUUAGCAGAGUUUGCCUACACAACAGCUACCAGUCGAGUAUUUAGAUGGCUCCUUAUGAGGCUUUAUAUGGUAGGAGGUGCCGAUCGUCAGUUGGAUGGUUUAAUAUGGGGAAGGCUCGGUUGUUGGGUACGGAUCUGGUUCAGGAUGCUUGGAUAAGGUCAGGAUCAUUCGGGAUAGGCUUCGUACAAUUCAGUCCUGGCAAAAGAGUUAUGCCAACUGCAAGGUUCGAGAUUUGGAGUUCAUGGUUGGUGAGCGGGUAUUGCUACGAGUGUCUCCUAUGAAAGGCGUGAUGAGAUUUGGGAAGAAGGGCAAGCUUAGCCCUAAUUGGCCCGUUUGAGAUUCUUGAUCGAGUGGGAGAGGUGGCUUACAUACUUGCAUUGCCGCCUAGCUUAUCAUUCGUGCAUCUAGUGUUUCAUGUGUACAUGCUUUGAAAAUAUCACGGCGAUCCAUCCCACAUAUUAGAUUUCAGCGUUGUCCAGUUUGACAAGGACUUGUCUUACGAGGAGGAGCCAGUACCUAUUCUAGACUGGCAGAUUCGUCACUUGGGGUCGAAGAGCUUUCCUUCUGUUCGUAUUCGGUAGAGAGGCCAUUCUACUAAGGCAUUGACCUGGGAGUCCGAGUCCAAUAUGCGGAGCCACUAUCCCCAUCUUUUUUUUGACUCAGGUACUUCCUUUUUAUGUCCAUUCGAGGACGAACGGUUGUUUUAAAGGUGGAGAAUGUGAUGACCCAAAAGGGUCAUUACUUGUUUUUAAAAUAAAUUCUAUAUUUCAAGGCCUUAAAAACCUCUUUUAGCUUUACCUCAAUUUGCGUGCACAAUCUAGGCGCGUAGCCAGAAAGCUAUUAUGUAAAAAAUAUGUGAAAAUUAUUGAAAUUUUUGCCUAAAAUGCAUUUAAGUUGACUUUGGUCAAUAUUUUUGGACAAACGGACCCGGACCUGAGAUUUAACGGUCCCGGAGGGUCAGUGGAAAAAUAAAGGACUUGGGCGUAUGCUCGGAAUCGAACUCCAAGGUCUCAAGUCUGAGAAAUCAAUUUUUAGAAGAAAUUGUUUUUAAAAAAAUAUAAAGGUUUAUGAAAGUGAAAUGUUAUGUGAAACCUGUGGUAUCGGGCCCGUAUCAUGGUUCGGAGUCUGGUACAGGUUCAAUAUGAUCUAUAUGUGUUGUCGGUAAAGUUUGGUAAGAAAUGGAAUCCAUUUGAUGUGAUUCAGGCUUUAAAUGCAAAAUUUGAUGUUUAAAGAAGUUUUGAGAAAUAUCAUUGAUUUUAAGGUUUAACAUGUUCAUAAUGUUAUUUGGUGAUUUGAUUACACGAAUAAGUCCGUAGGAUGUUUUUGAUAUUGUGCAUAUGUUUGGUUUGGAGGCCUGAGGGCUCGAGUGAGUUUAGGAUGGGUUUCGGAAAUUUUGAACUCAUAAAAAGUUGCAGGUUUUUGCUAUUCAAUGCCCAAGGAUUUUGUUCUUCGGGUUCGCAUGGGCCCACUCCCGAAUGUAAAAGGAAAAUCUUCCAGGUGCCAAAUUUCUUCAUUGCUAACGUGAGGAUAAUGCGGGGGGNNNNNNNNNNNNNNNNNNNNNNNNNNNNNNNNNNNNNNNNNNNNNNNNNNNNNNNNNNNNNNNNNNNNNNNNNNNNNNNNNNNNNNNNNNNNNNNNNNNNNNNNNNNNNNNNNNNNNNNNNNNNNNNNNNNNNNNNNNNNNNNNNNNNNNNNNNNNNNNNNNNNNNNNNNGGGGGGGGGGGGGGGGGGGGGGGGGGGGGGGGGGGGUACCCUUUGCGAACGCGACCAAGCACUCGCGAACACGUAAAGUAAAGGUCUGGGGAAAAGGGUUCACAUUUACUCUACGUGAAAGCAGCCACUGGUCCGCGAACGCGAAGGCUCGAGGGAUCAAAGCUCCGCGAGCGCAAGCCUAAUGUCACGAAUUCGAAGGUCUUACCGACCUAGCUCAUCGUGAAUGCGAUGAGCCUAUCGCGAACGUGUAGGCCAAUUUCGCCCAAUUAUUUUAAAGUUCAAAAACAAAAUGCAAUACGGGAAUUCGUCCAUUUUUUUAUAAAAUUCAUCUUAUCCACACCUCUUGGGCGAUUUUCUAAGAGGAACUUCACCAUAACUUCAUAGGUAUGUAAUCCAAAGCUCGUUUUCUUCCAUUUUCAUCAACACCCACUAGAUUUCUAGGCCUAAAAUAUGAGAUUAAGGGUAGAAAAUUAGGGAUUUUGGGAGAUUAAGGUCUUUUUCAUUAUUUGGGAAUUUGACCUCGUUUUUGGGUCGGAUUUCAAAACAAAUUAUAUAUUCAAGAUCGUGGGUGAAUAGGUGAUUUGGCUUUGGUCUAAACCUCGUGUUUUGACAAAGCAGACCCGGGGUGGAAUUUGGAUUUUUGGAAAGAAUGAUUGAAAACUUAUAAUUAAGCAUUAGAAUUGGAUUGUUUGGCGUUUAUUGAUGGUAUUAAGUUGAUUAUGUGUAGAUACGAUCGAUUUGGAGAAAAAUUCGAAAGGAAAAGCGGUAAGUGUUUUGUCUAACCUUAGCUUGAGGGAUUAGGAGUCAAGUCUUAUUUGCUAUGUGGUAAUUGAUGAGUACGGCAUAUAGGAUGGUGGCGAGUAUCUAUACGUUAGUUUCUAGUAUGCCUGUGAUCUUAUAUUGUGAUUUUCAUGACUUCAUUGUAUUAUUCAUGCCUUCGUGAAGAUUUUUAUUUAAUAUGCAAAGCUUGUGGAAGUAAUUGUGAUACUUGAACUUUGAGGAGCGGUGGCUCAAUUUGUAUAAUGAGAAGUGAAGGUAUAAGUGAUAAUUGAACCUCUAGAGCAUUGGCUCGAGUUGUGAAGUAAAGUGUGAAGUAAAAGUGAGAAAGAGAAAGAGAUCAUUAUGUUAUCUCCCUUACCGGGAUGUUGAUAUUAUUGAUGUUGUUCCCUUGCCGGGACUUAAUUGUUGAACUGUUGAUCCCUUGCCGGGACUUAAUUGUUGAAUUGUUUUUCCCUUGACUGGAAUUCUUAUUAUAAUCUCAUUUAUUCCCUUGACUAUUGUUUGUAAUUGUUGUUUGGGCGAAGAAGAGAGUUAAAGAACGAAGGUGAUAUCGUACAUUGUUUUUUAUGAGAAAAGAGUGUAGGCAAAUGCCGUGUAUGGUUGUGAGGAAAGAGUGUAAAAAUUCAAAGGGGGAUGUCGUGCACAUUUUUAUAAUAUGAUUUCUUUGGUCUCUCAUUUACUUAGUGUCCAUAUAUUUGAAAUCGAUAUCUCCCCCGUAGCAUGCUCCUUCUCCCAGACUUGACUAUUUAUUUUUGUAAUUCUUUUCCGCUGUGCAUAUUCGAAUUGCACAGGUUCAUUUGGUAGUCUGGUUCUAGCCUCGUCACUACUUUGCCGAGGUUAGGCUAGGAACUUACUCGCACAUGGAGAUGGUUGUGCUAAUACUACACAAUGCACUAUGUGCAGUGUACAGAUCAUGGAGUAGCUCUUGGACCGUAGUUUGGAGAUUACCUUCAGUCCACGCGGAGAUCUAAGGUAAAACUGUAGGCGUCCGCAGACCCUGGCAUCUCCCUCUAUCCAUAUUUCCUGUUUCAUUUUACUUAUAUUCAGAAAUAGUGUACUGAUAUUUUCUUCAGACUUUGUAUGUAGUAAAUCUUAGACCGUCUGUGACACUGUGAGACUAGGUUUUGAGGUGAUUAAGGCUUAAGCAUAUGUAAUAGAUGAAUAUUUCAGAUAUUUUAUUAUUUUCUUCCGCUUAAUUUAAAUUUCUUGUUGUUUUUACGUUAUCGCUUUAUACUUAUUAAAAAGGAAAUAAAUGGAUAUUGAAGUUGUUAGUUUAAAGAAUUGACUUGCCUAGCUCAUAUUAGUAGGCUUCAUCACGAUUCUUGAGGGUGAAAAAUUCGGGUUGUGAUAGAUAGCCGUGCAUAAUAAGUUUCAAUGAAGACAAGUGGUUGACCAAUGAAUAUGGGCAUGCCAAAUAUCUAAAUAAUAGUUAUCAUUAUGGUAAUUGUAAAAAUGAGAACAAUAAGGGUUCUCAAAAUAAUCCUUCAAAGCUAAAGGAAAUGUGUAUCAAUAUGGUCUGUAAAUAUGAGGCACGUUCAGACGAUUAUAGUUAGUAAUAAUGCGACUUGUGAUAAGCAUUAUAAAUGCAGACUCAUUCCUGAAAGUCAAUGUGGAAAUAUAUAUGUGACACAAAUUAUGCAUAAGCAUGUGCUUAUGUAUCAUUGAAUAAAUACUACAACUCACCUCUACAGGAGACAUUAGAGAAAGAAAGAUAAUGAACAUUAAUGUGUGGUUACACGAAUAUGUCAUUGGUCGCGUACAUGUGGUCACCAAAAUAUUUUUCCAUGCAUUAUAAAAGUUAUUAAAGGCAAAAUUAAAGCAAGAAAUAAUGUUGCUUAUGAUGAUUUUGACCAUGACAAUUAUCUAUGAUAUAAUUUUCUCCAUGAAGGAGACAUUAACCAUAUGGAUAGUGUGACCAAAGAUCUUGUAGUAAUAAAUCAGAAGUUCCGAAAGAAUUAAUUUGUUACAACCAGAAAAAUGAAAUUGUGCAUGACAUUGAUAUUGUAGUAAGCCACAAAAGAAAUUUUUUUAGUUUCAAACAUAGUAGCCAAAGUAUUUGGCAUUUGAGACUAUAAAUGAAAGGAAGAUUGAAUAUCUUCAGAUUAUUAUAAUCAUACCGGGUAAAAAUAAAAGGUUACCUGAAUUUACUUAUAUUUAUACUACAUAUGUAUAAGCAUGAUGAUGGAGUCAUUUUCCUACGUAAGUUAAAUGUUUACUGAAAUAAUAUUAGUUGGCAUGAACAGUUAGCAUCCUGAUUCAAUUAUGAUGCGAAUAAUAAAUUGAGAAUACACAUUGGCAAAUAUUUAAGAAAUAGAAGAUUCUUCAAGAAUUCUCUUGUGUUGUUAUUUCUCAUGAUAUACCAGUUAAGAUUGGGAUUGAAUCCCUUGAUAUAUGGAAUGAAUAAAAGGUGAUAUAUAUAUGUAUGGACCUAAUCACCUGCCAUGUGGACCAUUUACUAUUAUAUGAUUUUGAUAGAUGCAUGGUCACAUGUGCAUUUAUUAUCAACUUGAUGUUUGAUUUUUGCAAGAUUACUUGCUCAAACUAUUAUAGCACAAUUCCAUAAUAUAUAUUAUGAUACUUUAUCUUGAUAAUGCUGGUUUAAAUCCAAGUUGGUUUAGCAAAAAUUGCAGGCCUCCAAUUAAGUUAAACCAUUGUUUAUGAGAACAAAACUCUCAAAUAGAACUUUGGUAUGAGGUGUAUUAUUUAAAAUAUAUCAACAUUUGUACGCAUCUUGCCAACAAGUUAUGAUAAAUUCUCCAUAUCACAAUUGGUUUAGGCCCAGGGUCAGGAACUAUAUAACUUUAAUCUGGAGAUAUGUAUGUGCUAUAUAAUUUAAUUUUUCUACUACAACACAAAGAUAGAUCCCCAAAAGAUGUUGGGGGUAUGUUUUGGCGGUCCCAAUUGGGGGAGAAAUUGGGCAGCUGAAAAAGUAAUACAUAGAAUGAAUUAUUAUGAGUACACCUAAAUCCUCGUACAAGAAAAUGUAAAUGAGAAGUUCAAGUGGUAAUUCAUUUGCAAAAUAAUAGCAUGCGCACUUGCUAACCCAAAGCUAAAUGUUAUAUUUCAGUUGUUAAUGCUCCAACUAGAAUAAAGUCCAUGAUGGACAUAAGUCUAUGAAAAUCAUUAAGCGUAAUUGACUAAUCAGUUUCAAAAUAAAACUCCUAGAAGAAAGAGAGGAGAAAAUAAUAAAGAUGGUCACACUAAGGAUGAAAGUGCUAUGUAAGAGCACCAUGACAUAACACUUCAUAAGACCUCAUGUGAGAGGCUCAGGUAUCUGAAAAUAAUGAGAUAAAGAGAUCUCAAAAAGUUAUGUCAUUAUUGGGUAACAAUAGAAUCGAUAUAAAUGAUCCUCAACGAUAUUGUUGAUAUAAUGUAGCGCUCAGUAUUAUUAAUAUUAACGAGGAUCUUGAGCUCUAAUCUGUCAUGGAAUUUGGACAGAUAAAUAAUUUGACAAAAUAAAAAAUAGGCAAUGAAAAUUGACUUCACAUGAAAAAUGUGAAGUUGGACAGAUAGUCCUAAAACCUAAACGUAUAAAGCCAGUGGAGGUAUAAAUGUGUUGUUGUGCAAAAGGUUAAAUAAAAAAUCAAGUUGAUAGACAUAAGGACAAUUUGUGGCACAAAAAGAUUUGUAAAUAUCCUGGCAUUGAUUAUAUGGAGACAUGUUCUCUUAUGCUAGAUGCAGUCAUUUCAGGUUUUGGUCUGACAAUAUAUUUGUCACGACCCCAGUUCGCCCUCCGUUAAUUGUCGUGACGGCACCUAGUCUUACGACUAGGUAAGCCUAACAAGUUCGGAAAUUAAAUCGAAAAUUGUGGAAAUAUUAACUAAGAAUAACUACAAGGAAUGGUGUAUAGUAUGCCACUCGGCAUAUACAGCACAAUAUCUCAAAACUUCUACAUCACUAUCUCCAAACCCGGAAACUCAUGGGAACACAAGCCAAAAGAAAUAAAGUAAAAUGCUCUAACUUUGGAAUGUCUACAUCAACAGUAUCAGAGAAGGGCCAACACUUCAAGAUAGAAUAAAGAUGGACACUCUUCGGUCUCAGGACGCGGCAGAUGUAUCUCGAAGUCUCCAAAAUCUCUCCUGCCUUAAGGACGAUAAGCCUGUGCAGAGGUACCUGAAUCUACACAUGAAAAAUAUGCACAGAAAGGGCAUGAGUACACCAUAGCAGUACUCAGUAAGUGCCAAGCCUAACCUCGGUCGGAUAGUGACGAGGAAGGUCAGGGCCCUACUAAGGUCAAAUAAAAUAUAAGAUUUAACAUUAUGGAGUAAGCAGAAUAAUGAGUACAACAAUAGAAUAAGAUAAGUUAUACAAGGCAGCAACAAAUAAACAACGAACAGAGUAACCACGGAAAUAAGAAACGCUCAACACCAAUAGUAAUAAUGAGGAUCUCCCAAGAUACCGUCAUGUAGUCCUUUUCAUCAACUGUCCAGUGGAUCUCUCGAGAUACCGUCCUGUAGUCCAAUUAUCAUUGCACGGGGAUCUACAAAAAUCAUAAUCCAUAGUCCCCAAAUUUAAAUACCCAGUACUGGGGGAAUCUACCGGGUACAUUCCCUUAGUUCUAUAUAACUGUGCGGGGGGGUCUAUCGGGAAUCUAACCCGCAGUCCAAAAGUAAAAGUGCAGGGGGGAUCUAUCGGGAGUCUAACCCGCAGUCCCAAAAUAAAUGUGCAGGGGAAUUUAUCAGGAAUCUAACCGCAGUCCCAAAGUAAACAGACAAGCGAGAGCUACCAGAAUCUCACAUCCAUAGUCCUAAUAUAAAUACACAGCAACAGCAAGAAAAUAUUCAGAGAAGGGAAAUUUCACAUUAAGGCAGCAAAUAAUCCUAGCCUAGCAUGCUGUACAGAGUUAUGGUAAACAGAUUGAACAAUUAAGGCAAUUAAAUCACUUAGACAUGCUUUCCUAAGCUAACACAGGCUUGCAUAGUACAAGUAAUAAAAAUGGGAAAAGGAACACACUAAUAAGUGCUUAAAGAAAACUGGAUUUCCAACCAUUUGCACAAGUACGCACUCGUCACAUCGCGUACAAGACAUUACAAUUACCAAAUAUAUCCAUCCUAAGGGGAAGGCCCCUCACACAAGGUUAGACAACCACUUACCUCGAAUCGGCUCAAAAAUCAACUCGAAACCACAUUCUUGGCACGAGUAUCCAUCUCCAAAUGGCCCAAAUCUAUUCAAUUUAAUUGCAUCUUAUAAAUAACACUUCAAGAAACUAAUUCUACAAUUAAAUUCUAAGCUAAUACGUGAAAUCAUGUAAAAUGACCAAAAUACCCCUUGGGACCAAAUCUCGGAAUCGAGUAAAAUCUAUAUUUUUAGAAAUCUCGUACUCUCGCGAGUUCAACCAUAUAAAAAUAAUCUAAAUCCGAUGCCAAAUGCCCAAUCAAAACUCAAUAAUUCGACCUAUGACGUUUUAUCCCAUUUCCAUUCAAAAUCCAAAAAUUAAAGGAAGGAUUCAUGCUUAGAUUAGUGGGUUACAAGCAAAAGGGAGUUUAGAUUCGUUACCCUAUUGAUAUCUCUGAAAAUCGCUCAAAAUCUAGCUUAAAUCCAAGCUCCCAAUCAUAAGUUUUGAUAGAAAUGGCUAAACCCCCGAUUUUGAAUACUUAUAUAUGCCCAAGUAUUUCCUUAAUCGCAAUCGCGGAAUUAGCCUUGCGAUUGCAAAGCACAAAAUGGACUGCCCUUGACUUACUUUAUGCGAUCGUGACACGCUUCAUGCGAUCGUGAAGCUAUACUACUCAACCUCACGCGAUCACAACUUAACACACGCGAUCACGAGGCUAUACCACACCGACUCACCUGAUCGCAACUUGACUCAUGCGAUCUCGUAGAAGAAACUGGACAACAUACCUGAAGCGAAAUCUGCAAUCUUUUAAGGCACAAAAUGGUCCAAUUGACCAUCCAAAACUCACCCGAGGCCCCCGGGGCCUCAACCAAGGGCAUUACCACAUCGUAAAACCCUAUUCAAACUUGUCCCAAUCAUUAAAAUACCUCAAACAACAUCAAAUCACUCAAAACACAUCGGAUUCAAGCUUAAGUUUCUAAAAUCUUCCAAAAUAACUUUUGAUCGAAAAACCAACCGAACCACGUCCGAAUAACCUAAAAUUUUGCGCGCACAUCCCAAAUGACAUAGCAAAGCUACUGCAACUCUCGGAAUCUGAUUUCAACCCCUGGAUCAAAAUCUCACCUACCAACCAGAAAUCACCAAAAUAUCAUGUUUGCCAAUUCAAGCCCAACACUUAAGCUCUCAUUUAGGUACUAAGUGUCCCAAAACUCUCUGAAAACUCAAAAUCGAAAUACCGACAAUCACAUUGGCAGAAAUAAACUUGGCGAAGUAGUUGAUAGGGGAUCGGGGCUUUAUUUCUUAAAACGAUCGGCCGAGUCGUUACAUCCUCCUACACUUAAACAUUCGUUCAUCCUCAAAUGAGCAUAGAGACAUACCUAAAGUAGUGAAAAGAUGAGGGUAAUAGUAGCGCAUGUCCUGUUCGAUCUCCCAGGUCGCCUCCUCGACCGGCUAACCCCGCCACUGAACCUUUACCGAAGCUAUGUCCUUUGACCUCAACUUUCUGACAUGUCUGUCCAAUAUAGCAACUGGCUCCUUAAUAUAAGACAGAUCCUUGUCCAACUGGACUAAGCUAAAAUCCAGCACGUGCAACGGUUCACAGUGAUACCUCUGAAGCAUCAAAACAUAAAAUACUAGGUGAACUCCAACCAGGCUAGGAGGUAAGGCAAGCUCAUAAGCAACCUCCCUAACUCGCCGCAAUAUCUCAAAAGGGCCAAUAAACCUCGGACUCAACUUCCCAUUCUUUCCAAAUCUCAUAAUGCCUUUCAUAGGCGAAACCUAAAGCAGAACUCGCUCUCCAACCAUAUAGGAAAUAUCACAAACCUUCCAGUUUGUAUAGCUCUUCUGUCUGGACUAGGCUGUACCAAUCCUAUCCUAAAUCACCUUAACCUUCUCUAAAGCAUCCUGAACCAAAUCUGAGCCCAAUAACCUAGCCUCACCUGGCUCAAACCAACCCACCGAAGAACUACACCUUCUACCAUACAAAGCCUAAUACGAUGCCAUCUGAAUGCUGGAUUGAUAACUGUUGUUGAAAGAAAACUCCUCCGAUGGAAAGAACUGAUCCCAAGAACCCCCAAACUCCAUCACACACGCAUGGAGCAUAUCCUUCAAUAUUUUAAUAGUACGCUCAGACUACCUGCUCUUCUGAGGGUAAAAUGUCGUGCUCAACUCCACCCGAGUGCCUAACUGCCAUUGCACGGCUCUGAAGAACCACGAUAUGAACUGAGUACCUAUGUCUGAAAUGAUAGAAACUGGGAUACCAUGCAGACAGACAAUCUCCUAGAUGUAAAUCUCUGCCAACCGCUCCAAAGAAUAACUGGUACACACAAGAAUGAAAUGAGCGGUCUUGGUCAGCUGAUCCACAAUAACCCAAAUGGCAUCAAACUUAUUUAAAGUCCGUGGGAGUCCAGAUACAAACUCCAUGGUGAUACUCUCCCACUUCCACUCUAGAAUAUCUACUGCUGAAGCAAUCCACCCGGCCUCUAGUGCCCAUGCUUCACUUGCUGACAAUUGAGACACCAAGAGACAAAUCCAACUAUAUCUUUCUUCAUCCGCCUCCAUUAGUAGUGUUGUCUCAAGUCCUGAUACAUCUUCGUGGCACCGGAAUGAAUAGAGUACCACAAACUGUGGGCAUAUAAUCAGCUCUCGAAGCCCAUCAACAUUUGGUACACAAACCCGACCCAGCAUCCUCAAUAUUUUAUCGUCGCUAAUGGUCACAUAUCUGGAAUCGCCAUGUUGAACCUUGUCCAUAAGGACACGCAAAUGAGGGUCAUCAUACUGGUGCUCCCUGAUACAACCAAAUAAUGAAAACCAAGAAACCACACAAUCUAGAACCCGAUCGGGCUCCAAAAGAUCCAAUCUCACAAACUGGCUGGCUAAGGCCUGAACAUCCACAGCCAUAGGCCUCUAUGAUACUAGUAAAUAUACCAGACUCCCCAAACUCUCCGCCUGGCGACUCAAGGAAUCAACCACUACAUUGGCCUUGCCCGGGUGAUAUAAAAUAGUGAUGUCAUAAUCCUUCAACAACUCUAACCACCUCUUCUGGUACAAGUUUAGAUCCUUUUGCUUGAACAAAUAUUGCAAGCUCCGAUGGUCAGUAUAAAUCUCACAAGGCACACCAUAUAGACAAUGGCACAAAAUCUUCAGGGCAUGAACAAUGGAAGCUAGCUCAAGAUCAUGGACAGGAUAAUGCUUCUCAUGUAUCUUAAACUUCCUGGACGCGUAGGCAAUCACCCUACCAUCAUACAUCAAUACCGCUCCAAGUCUAACUCUCGUGGCAUCAUAAUAGACAGCAUAACACCCUGAACCUAGAGGGAAUGUCAGCAUUGGGGCCGUAGUCAAAGACGUCAUGAGAUUUUUGAUAACUAGGGAUUUUGACGUGUUUUAUGCUCCUUCUUUUUUACUGUUUAAUUAUAAAUUCUUACAAAAUAGUCCCAAAAAGCUCAUAAGUUGUGCUUGAUUGACGGUUUGAUCAACAAAGUGAGAAAAUAUCAAAGAUCGACUCAAAAGGAGUGAGACUUGCACAAGUAUCAAAGACAAGACAACUCAGGACAAACCAGACUAGUGCGGCCGCAGUCCAUUCUGUGCGGUCCGCACUAGGUAGAUUUAAAGGCUGAACUUUAAGGCAUAAAAUGUCGUGCAGCUGCAGUCCAUUCUGUGCAGUCUGCACUAGGGGAAUUCAGGAAACUGGAAAAGCAAGAUUCAAGGUAGUAUGGUCGUAGUCGACCUUGCGCGGCCGCAUUAAAGGCUCCAUGACUGCACUAUCAUUAUGUGCGAUCCCCGGAAGAUACGAUCAUAGAGAUGCAACUUGCCUAGGUUCAAGCCAUCGCGGUCCGCAAUCAUGUUUCUAUUGACCACAUUGGAAGCCUUCGCGGCCUCGGUCCGUGUUGUGUGGUCGCUGAGCCUAAGUUUAGAGAGCCAAGACUUCAAUAUCAAGAGCCUAGUGCAGCCGCAGUCCAUUUUGUGCGACCCUCACUAACCCUGCAUGGGAAUUUUUGUCCAAUUUUCCAGCUUAGUAUAAAUAGAACCUUUUUCCAUUUUUACGGCGCUCGUGAGAAGACCAUUUGUAGCCAUUUUAAGCAUUUUUAAUUAGUUUUUAUCAUUGAAUCUUUAUAUUUAGUUUACCAAUAAUUAAUGUCUUUUUCUUCAUCUAUUUCUCUGAUUAUAUCAUCAAGCAUAAGUAGCUAAACCCAUUAUCUGGGGUUGUGGAUCAACCUUAGUAUGGGUAAUUAAUGGGUGUUACAAUUUAAGGCUAUAUUGACAACAGGUCUUUGUUAUUUGGGUCAAUUUUAUGGUUUAAAUUAUGAAUUGGUGGUUGCAAACAUUGAAUUGUGCUAAGUUGACUUGGCUCUUCCUGAGAAAGAGAUCCUAAGUCUCCAAAAUUGACCCAACAAGGAAUUAGGAUGGACUCAAGAGAAUUGAUAGUCCCANNNNNNNNNNNNNNNNNNNNNNNNNNNNNNNNNNNNNNNNNNNAAAAUUGACCCAACAAGGAAUUGGGAUGGACUCAAGAGAAUUGAUAGUCCCAAUUAAAUGGUUAAACCUCGAGAGAGAAAUUACCCGACUUGAACCCUAGUUUCUUGAGCAGAUUUGACUACCCAUUUGGUCUUGAGAAAGUCAAUUUGAAAAAAUCACUCACUCUACCGAGAGGUGAGAUAGUGGGUAACAUCGUGCAAUGGUAAUAGCAUAUUUCCUCAAUCAUGUCAAGAAUGCCUUAGAAGCAAUUACCUGUCAAUUAGCCACCUAGGUGAAAGUCACUACCCUAGAGCCCUUUUAUAUAUUAGAGACUACUCUUAGAAAUAGUCUCCUAGCAUAAUCUAGUUGCAAUUUAUAAUUAGUAGUUGUUAAUAGUAGAUAUUUAAAGAAAAAAUCUCAAAAUAUGAUUGGAAGUGACAUUUGGAGCAAUUACACAACUCUAGCCUAGAUAGAUACUCAACUCCAAUUCUAGUUCCUUGAGAAAAUUUAUCCCGACAUGAAAUUGGGCAAAAGCUAUUGCGACCCUCUCCUGCUACUCGUUGGUAGUGCUGAGUUGGUUGCGAUCAACCUUUUGCCGCCGUUGUCGGAGAGCUAAUGAUUUGGGCAAUCUAUUUAGUUAGUUUUGUAUUUUGUUCUUCUUUCCUUCUAUGUCACUUACUUGUUUGUGAUAUUACUCAGGUACUAACAUGGAUUUAAACACCGCUAAUGACCCUCGUGGAAACGUGAUAGCGGUGGAAGGAGGUAGAUGAUCUUGAGCAAGAUGAGGUACCUGUAGCACCUCAAGGACAACGGAGAGGCCGGAAUGCCAAUGCAAAUGCUAUUCCAAAUGAUAAUAUUCCAUACCCUCCUUCGCCACCUCCAAGAGUGGCUCCAAAACUAUUACCGAACCAGCGCUACGGAAGUGCUAUUGUCCCACCCCAAAUAUGGGCAAAAAUAUUCAGAUAACUAAUGUGAUGUUGACCUUAAUUGAGUAGUGCGGGUACUUCACGGGUGAUGCGGAUCAAAAUGCCUACAAACAUCUAAAGGGGUUCGUAGAUAUAUGCUAGGGGAGCAAGCAGACAAAUGUAUCCGAGGAUGCGCUAAGAUUGAGACUUUUCCCGUUCUCAGUUUGGGGAAAAGCAUUAGACUGGCUAGAGAGACUCUCCAACCAUUCCAUCAUAACUUGGGAUGAGUUAGCAAAUAAAUGUAUUGGCAAGUUCUUCUCACCGAUUCAUAUGGCGGCACUUCGGGAUGAAAUUUUAGCCUUCAAGCAAGUGCCAAUAGAACCACUGCAUGAAAUAUGGGAACAGUAUAUGACUAUGGUGAAAGAGUGCUUGAAUAACUAUGUGACCGAGGCGAUGAUUCAUCAAACUUUUUAUUGGGGCAUCAACACCACAAAUCAAUGCAUUGUGAACCAACUGAUCGGGGGAAAUUAUAUGAAACUUUCUUAUGAUGAGGCAUAUGGUGUACUUGAUGAUAUGGCCGACACUUCUUAGACAUGGCAAAGUAGAGCAAAUGUCACCAAGGUGACUCUACGAUCAUCCAUUUGCACAAGGAAUUGCAUGAUUAUGGUUAAGCUAUUGCUGAGCUCACUACUACUAUGAACCAAUUCGCGAAAGCACAGUUGCAACAAGUCUAAAAUCUGCGCCAAGUCAACGCCAUUGAAGGUGUCAAUAUGCUUAAGAAAAGACAAAGAGGACAACAAUCUCAAGGGAAUUGUGAACAAUAUGACAAUGAUGGUGGUGGUUUUUCAAAUGAGUAUUAUGAUGACCAAAAGCAAAGAGUUUCAAUAUGUUAACAACUAUCAAGGCAAUAGAGGCAACUCUUCAAACCAACAACGGCGGCCCCAAGGAAAUUAGGGCAAUCAACAAUAAGGUAAUGGCAAUUGGAACAACAACAAUCAAUAACAAGGUGAUGGAAAUUGGAACAAUAACAAUAAACAACAAGGUGGUGGUAAUUGGAACAACAACAACUAAAACAAAAAUUAGGGUAACCAAAACAACAACCAAGGCAAUUAGAAUGGACAUUACAAUAAUUAAAGCAACAACAACAAUCAAGGCGGGUAGAAUAACAAUGAAAACCAAGGCCACCGGGGGCAAGGCUUUCAAAGGCCCCAAAUGUACCAACAACCGACCAAUCCACCCCCUUUCCCUUCGCAAGGCCCUAGUUCUUCUGGAAGUGAUAUGGGCAUAAUUGAAAGUAUGUUCGAGCAACUGAUGAAAAAGAACAAAGAUCUCGAUGCUCAAUUUGCUUCCAACAAUACCUUCAUCCGGAACUUAGAGGUGUAAUUAGGCCAAAUCUCUCAAGCUUUGAACACUCAUCCCAUGGGUGUUCUACCAAGUGACACGGUAGUGAACCCGAAGGGCGGGAACAACAAUCAUGUGAUGGCGGUUUCAAUAAGAAAUGGGAGAGGCGGUGAUGUGAAUGCCUCAAGGGAAAAGCAAGUGGUAUAUGAUGAUUUUGAGUUGCGGGAUGAUGAUGGACCUUUGAUUGUUGAAGGUAUGGUUGAAGAAAAUGUGAACAAUGAUGUGAGGAUGGACAUUGAUGAAGCCAAGGUAGAAACUCAAGAUGUCGUGAUCCCGUCUAGGGAACAUGUGAUUGAUUUGCCCGAGCUGGUUGUUCCAAAACCAAGGCACCCUUGCCUAGUCCACCUCGACCUUAUCCUCAAAGUCUCGCAAAGCAAAGAAAUAAUAACCAGUUUAAGAAGUUCAUUGAUAUGAUGAAGAGCUUGUUCAUAAAUGUGCCUUUGGUAGAGGCCCUUGAACAAAUGCUGGGCUAUGCUAAGUUUAUAUAUGAUUUAGUGACAAAGAAGAGGUCUAUGGAUUAUGAAACAAUAAAGAUGACUCACCAAGUGAGUGCGCUAGUGCAUUCAAUGGCACCAAAGCUUGAAGACCCUGGAUAUUUUACAAUCCCUUGUACUAUUUGAAGUGCGGACUUUGCCUAAGCUUUAUGUGACUUGGCAGCUAGUAUCAAUUCGAUGCCAUACUCGGUUUUCAAGACUUUGGAUAUUGAGAAACCUAGACCAACUCCAAUGAGGCUUCAAAUGGAGGAUCAAUCGAUGAAGCGACCCUUGGGAAUUAUUGAUGAUGUGCUUGUCCGGGUGGACAAAUUCAUAUUGCCGGCCGACUUUGUCAUUUUACAUUGUAAAGUAGACUACGAGAUCCCUAUUAUCUUGGGUAGACCUUUCCUUGCAAAGGGGAAGGCAUGGUUGAUGUUGAAGCGGGUGAGCUCACUUUCCGAGUGGGUGAUGAAAAGGUCAUCUUCCAUGUUUUCAAAUCCAUGAAGCAACCCAAUAGAACCGAGAUGUGUUCACUUAUAGACCUUGUCAUAGUUGUGAUAGUGGAUAGUACUAGUGCUAUGAUCAACGUGGAGGAUCCGAAACCCAAUAGCACCUAGGUAUGCUCAUUUGUAGACCUUGCCACAGCUGUGAUUGUGGAUGAUACCAGUGUUAUGAUCAACAUGGAGGAUCCCCUUGAGGUCUUGCUACUUAAUAUAUAUGUCAAUGAUGAUGUUAAUAGAGUGGAGUGUACAAAUGCCCUAUAUGGGAUGGGCUCUUAUUCUUAUGAGCCGAGAAAAUAGUCUUUGGAUCUUGAAAACCGGAAAACUCCACCAACAAAGCCAUCAAUUGAGGAACCACCGGUGUUGGAUUUGAAACCACUUCCUCCACACCUCAUAUAUGAAUUCUUGGGCUCAAGUUCUACUUUACCAGUUAUUCUUUCUUCUUGCCUUACUAACAUGCAGGUUGAGGCCACAUUGGCGGUGCUUCAAAAGCUGAAAAGGGCAAUUGGAUGCACUCUAGAUGACAUUCGGGGAAUAAGCCUCGCAUUUUGCAUGCAUAAAAUUAUAUUGGAGGAUGAUGCAAAGCCUUACUUUGAGCAUCAAAGGAGAUUGAAUGAGGCUAUGCAAGAAGUUUUGAAGAAAGAUGUGAUCAAAUGAUUGGAUGUCAGGGUUGUGUACCCCAUUUCUGAUAGCUCGUGGACUUUUCUGGUGAAAUGUGUGCCGAAGAAGGGUGGUAUGAUUGUGGUGACCAAUGACAACAAAUGAACUUAUUCCUACGCAGAUGGUCACUGGGUGGAGAGUAUGUAUGGAUUACUGAAAGCUGAACAAGGUGACCCGCAAGGAUCAUUUCCCAUUGUCAUUUCUUGAACAAAUGCUAGAUUGUCUUGCGGGGCAUGAUUUUAAUUGCUUUUUGGAUGGAUACUUGAGGCACAAUCAAAUUUUAAUUGCCCCAGAGGAUCAAGAGAAGGCAACUUUUACAUGUUUGUAUGGCACAUUCGCUUUCUCUCGGAUGCCAUUCAGAUUGUGUAAUGCUCUAGCGACCUUCCAACAAUGCAUGAUGGCUAUUUUCACUGACAUGGAUGGAUGAUUUCAGUGUGGUUGGGGAUUCCUUUGAUAAGUGUUUGGGUAAUUUGGAUAAAGUGUUGGCCUAGUGUGAAGACAUCAACCUUGUACUCAAAUGGGAAAAAUGUCAUUUCAUGGUUGAAGAGGGUAUAGUAUUGGGUCACAUAAUUUAAAAGCAAGGAAUUGAAGUGGAUAAAGCCAAAAUAGAGAUGAUUUCGAGGCUUCCUCCCCCUAUUUCUCUCAAAGGGGUGAGGAAUUUUCUUAGGUAUGUGGGUUUCUACGGAGGUUCAUCAAAGAUUUUUUGAAGGUAGUUAACCCGUUGUGCAAGUUGCUAGAGAAAGAUGCUAAGUUUGUGUUUGAUGAGAAAUGCAUGGAGGCCUUUGAACUUCUCAAGCAGAAGUUGACCACUGCUCCUAUCAUUAUCGCAAAUAAUUGGAGAUUUCCUUUGAGCUCAUGUGUGAUGCUAGCGACAUUGCGGUUGGGGCAGUUUUGGUUCAAACAAUUAACAAAAUGUUUCAUCUAGUGUACUACGCAAGCAAAACAAUCAAUGACGCUCAACUGAACUAUACAGUCAUAAGGAAAGAGUUGUUGGCUAUAGUGUUUGCUAUGGAAAAGUUUCAACCAUAUCUUAUGGGGGCCAUUAUAGUGCACAACGAUCAUGCCGCCCUUAGGUAUUUAAUAAUAAAGAAAGACUCUAAGUCAAGACUGAUGAGAUGGGUGCUACUACUUCAAGAGUUUGAUCAAGAAAUUGUUGACCGGAAAGGUAGUGAGAAUCAAGUGGCGGACCACUUGUCCCAUUUGGAAGAGGAUGGGAGGCCGUGUGAUGGCCUUGAGAUCAAUGAUUCAUUUCUCGAUGAACAACUCCUUGCGGUGUCAGUAAAUGAUAUGCCAUGGUUUGCCGAUGUUUCCAAUUACCUCGUGACUGUAAUAAUUCUAUAUGAGCUCUCUUCUAACUAAAGGAAGAAACUCAAGAGGGUUAGCUUGGAUUUUUAUUGGGACGAGCCAUAUUUGUUCAAGAUUUUCACGGAUGGUGUGAGUCAUAGAUAUGUUCUGGAGGAAGAACAAUUUGGUAUCUUGGAGGCUUGGCAUUCCUCUCCUUAUGGUGGCCAUCAUGGCAGGGGGGACAGCUUCUAAAGUGCUUAGUUAUGGAUUCUACUGGACAACCUUGUUCAAAGAUGCGGGUGAUUUUGUGAAGAGAUGUGACGAAUGCCAAAGAGUGGGCAGGAUUUCCAAGAAAGAUGAGAUGCCUCUAAACACAAUUCUUGAAGUUGAUAUCUUCGAUGUAUGGGGUAUCGACUUUAUAGGACCUUCUGUUAGCUCGUGUGGUAACACUUACAUUCUUGUAGCGGUUGAUUAUGUGUCAAAAUAGGUUGAGGCCAUGGCCUUGCCCAACAAUGAAGCUAGGAGUGUGGUGGCAUUUCUAAAGAAGAGCAUUUUCACAAGGUUUGGCACUCUUCGUGCUAUUAUUAGUGAUGGGGGGUCUCGUUGUCGUAAAAGUCUUUCGACGCGUUACUUUCCAAAUAUAUUGUCAAUCAUAUGCUUGGCACUACUCGUGCGAUUAUUAGUGAUAGGGGCUAUCACUUUUGCAAUAAAGCUUUCGACACGUUGCUUUCAAAGUACGGUGUCAAUCAUAAGGUUUCUACCCCUUAUCACCCUUAAGCUAGUGGUCAAGUGGAAGUCUCCAACAGGGAAUUCAAGAGUAUCUUAUCAAAGACGGACAAUGCUAAUAGGAACGAUUGGUUGAAGAAGUUCGAUGAUGCUCUAUGGGAUUAUCGGAUGGCUUACAAGACUUCGAUUGGUAUGUCUCUGUAAUUGUUGGUGUUUGGGAAAGCUUUCCAUCUAUCGGUUGAGUUAGAGCAUAAGUCCAUGUGGGCUUUGAGAAAGUUGAAUUCAGAAUAGGAUGUUGCAGCCAAUCUUGGUGUUGAACAACUCAAUGAACUUGAGAAUUUAGAUUCCAUGCCUACUCCAGUUCGUCCUUGUAUAUGGACAAGAUGAAGUGCCUUCAUGACAAAUAUGCUCGUGGAAAGGAGUUCAAAGUUUGUGAUUUGGUUCUUUUGUUCAACUCCCGGUUACGUCUGUUUCCAGGAAAGCUUAAAUCAAAGUGGUGUGGGCCAUUUGAAGUUAUGUUUGUGACCCCAUUUGGUGCUCUUGAUCUCAAGAACAAAAAUAGUGAAGUUUUCAAAGUUAGCGGGCACAGGGUCAAGAACUAUUUAGGAAAGAUUGAUGAUAUCCACGUGGUGGCGAUUCUUCAUCUCAAGUGAUAUGGUAACAUGCAAUGUGACGUUAAAUAAGGCGUUUCUUGGGAGGUAACUCAUGUCUUUUUCUUCCUAUUUUCUUUUUUUUGUAGUGUAGGAUUAAUUUUUGUGCUAAUUGGUUGUGAGAUGUUGCAGGGUUAUGUUGAUGCAGUGUAAGACAUGAUUGAAAAAUUAAACAAGUCUCUGAAAUUGCCAGUGCGGACGCGCUACACUUUGUGCAGUCUGCACUAGUGUGGGCCAAUAUGAGAAGUCUCUGAAGUUUGUCAUCACGUCCACGUUACACUUUGUGCGGACCUCAGUGGACCUCUGCGGCCACGGUCUAUUUUGUGCGGACUGCAGAGGUUGCCUUCUCAAACUUCUUCUAAACAAACCCAGUGCAGACCGCGGUCCAUUUUGUACGGCCGUGCUGGUAAGUGAGAAUGGGUCCCAGUGGUUGUUUAUAAAUAGACCUCAAGGACCCCUGCUUAAACUUUUCACGAAUUUUAAACUCUGAGAGACUAAAACACUGUUCAUCCUUAUUUCUUGCUCGUAAUUACUUGUUUGCUUUAUGUUGAUUCUUUCUUGCUCAAUAUCUUGUAACAUUUCACCUAACUCUUCUUAGCUUAGUUGUUUAAUUUCAUUUUAGUUUCAUUUUUAUUAGUUGGUAGGUUUUCUCCCCCGUAUUUCUUUAGUUUUUAGAUUAGUUAGUUCAAAUGUUAAUGUAUGGGUGCUUGAUCAGUGUAAUGAAUUGGGUAAUUGAGUAUGGAAAUUAAUUAGGUGAAAUUUGAACUAGAUAUAAAAUUAGGAACCCUAACUCAAUUCCAUCUUUGGACACCCUCCGCGUACCGCAGUCGUGUUUGUGCGGUCCGCGUGCCUUAGUACAGUCCGCAGUACCACUUUGUGCGGACCGCGGUGAUGAGCUGAUGCAAGGUGGCCUUAAGCCCAAUGCGGUCACACUGUAUUUUGUGCGGUCCGCACUGGCACAUCGCGACCGUGAUACUACUUUGUGCAGGCCGCAGUGGACAGAUUCAGAGGGUGUGUAAAAUGUCCCCCACACCUGUGCGAACCGCGGUCAUUUUUGUGCAGUUCAUGGUAGUCCUUGUGCGGCUGCACUCCUUUUUGUGCGGUCCACACAGGCCAUGUUCUGCAACUAUUUCUGCAAUUGUGUUAUUUUGUUCUAUCAUUCUUACUGCAUUAAUGUCUCACUGUCUCUGGUAAUACUAACAAAGUUAGAUGCUUGUGCUUGCAGAGAAUGGUUAAACAAAGAGGAAAAGACUCAAAACAACCGGAAAGAGGUAAAUCCUCCGGGGGGGCAAGGGAAAAAAGAUGAUCUGUCUCACUCUCCAAGUGAAAGAAAGAAUUAAAAAGAUGCAAAAAGCAAUAAAAGCUGCUGAUAGAGCUUGUGACUAAUCGGGAGUGAGUAAGUACCUUCCCAGGAUAUUUCCUCUGAUUCUGUGCCCGAACAUGUCCCUAACUGACCCGAGAGAAUGAGAUUGACUGAUGAUACUCCUUCACCCACGCCUACUGCCCAAGCAACAUAUCAUUUCCCCACUGAGUCAUUUGAGGGCUCAGUAACCGGCAGUGGCAAGUACACCACCUCCGCCACAACUUAAUUAUCCGGGGAGAGUGCGGGCGGAGGUAAUGAGGGAGAUGAGGAGGUACCUGAGGGUGGUGAGCCUCAAGUUGGGGGGAUUGCCCGUACUAGGAAACCCGAAGUGUGGGAGGACAUAGUUAUAAGCCAAUUGGCAUACCAAAAAUUCAGGGAGUGGUGGUCGGUGCGAAAACUGAUUUUGGAAAGAAGUUUCAUAGAUAGAGAUCUUCUAACCCUAAACCUGAUAUGCAUAGACAACUUAGAACAAGAGUGGGGUGGGAGCACUUUAUAGAUGACUGUUUGGAGGCAAAUGAACACUUGGUCAAGUAGUUUUACUGUAAUGUAGCCCACAUCAUCAAGGGUUCCAAAGUAACCAAGGUUCGAAACAAAAAGGUGUUGUUCGAAAGGAAGUUGCUGAAUCAGUAUUUGGGGUUCAAUGAAGAGGAUGAGACCCUCUAUAUGGCAAAGCUAGAGAUGGGCGAGGAGGUCCGUACAUGGUUAGCUCAGUACCUGGCAAUCCCAGGUACCAUUCUGGAGUGGUUGACUGUUGGGGUAAAGAUACUACGGAGGACUCUUAACUAUAAGGUGAGGGGUUGUGAGACGUUUGUAUACAAUCGAUUAGACCCCACUUCCCAUGAUCAUACUCUACCACUCCACCAGGCUAUCCUAGUUUCUUCCAUCAUGACAGGGUACCCCAUCAAUGUGGGGAAUGUGAUGUCCCGCAUCAUCUCGAUUGUGGGUACUGAGACUGACUAGAACUACUCUUUCCCCAACACCCUAACCAUGUACUUCAGAGAUUUGAAGGUUGAAAAAAGGCAGUUUGACAUCAAGAUAAAGGCUACAGCCCCAUUCUCAUGGUAUAGUCUAAGGGGACAAGAUAACCCCAAGGACAAGAGCUACAAGGCCCUCGUUUCUGCCAAAACUGGCCAAUCUGAAGAGCCAGUUGUGGUAGAGGCCUCCAUUGAGCCUGUGUCUACCUCUACUGAGAUGCCUCCCCGACCCUCCAAUUAUGAUACUCCUCCAGGCCCUUCCACAUCAGCAGGCCCAAAGAUUCUAUCUACUCGGGCUUAUCUUAUCACUACCCAUGGGCUGAGCCACACGCUUCAGAGUUUAAACAACUCGAUGUAUACUUCUUCAUCCAAGUUGUCUACCUUGACCUCCACCAUUGCAGCUCAUUCGGCACCACAGCCAGUACAGGUCCCACAGUCUAUAGAGGAUGCUUUGAAGAAGAUACUUGAAAAUCAAGAGAGAAUCCUUACUACCCAGGCUGAUUUGGCAAAGGUAGUGGAUUCACAUGGCAAGGCUCUGAAGGAGCUUUCCAAGGAGCACAAGAAGUUGCGCAAGACACGGUCUCCCAAGGACUCCAUGAAGGAGCUAUGGGCGGAUGUAGAUAGAAUGAAGGUAGACCAGCUGCCUUUAAACUUCUUGUUUGAGGACCCAGCUCUAGCAGCAGUGCCAGCAGCAGAUACUUAGACGUAGCAGUCACAGCGACCUCCAAAGAGGAGGAGGAUGAUCCCAAGUGCAGAUGAUGUUGUCAUCCAGUUGGUGGACCUAUUGGAGGCUUCCUCCAGUCAGCCAUAGUUUGUACCUGAUCCACAGGCUAUACAGGUCCAGGUCCAGGUCCCAGCAGCUGAGCAAUAGGAUACUGGGAACCAGUCUCUAAGGUUCCCGAGCACACAGAGAACCCAGGGACUGCACAUGAUCCUAUGUAGUCGGACAUGGCUUAGGGAGUCUUCAUAUCCUUCCUCUAUUUUAUUUUUGGUGCUUCUUUUCCAGUUGGUAUUGGGGACAAUGCCAGCUUUUAUUUGAUUGGGUGUGCCCUAUAUCCUUGGGUGACUACAUAUAUACUGAUUUAGUUUAUGCUUUAUUGAUUUUUAUUUGGUUUGUAUAUAAGUUUACAUUUAGUUAGUUUUAUCUUACUUUUUAUCUUUCAUUUGGUCAGUAUAUAAAGUUAUAUCAUUGUAUAUAUUAAUAUCCUAUUGUAUAUUCAAAUCCCCUAUUGUAUAUAUUCAUUCUAUUUUUGCAAAUAUUUUCAUUUUUAGCUUCUUAUUGAUAUUUGUAGUUUUUUUUCAUUUUUGACGCUUUCAAUAAACCUUUGGUAUUCUUAAUGUCACGGUUCUUUCCAAAGGUGGAGUAUUGUGUGAACCGGGUGGCACUUCCCGAUGAUGGAUGGCGUGAUAACCUUCUUAACGGUUUGAUUCCAUUUGUGUUUUUAUUUUUGGUAGUUUGCAGUUAAGGGUACCUCAAGCAAAGCUUCACUUGGGCCUAGAACAUUUGCCUUUGAUCCCAUGGUCAAAGAUAAAAUGUUGUGUUUAGGAUGGUGAAAGUCGUGACCUUGAGACUUUUGUGUUGAACAACAAUCAUCAAGUGGUCUUUUGGGACCAUUGUGUGCUCAAAUCGUGACUAAGGUUGUUGUAGGCCCCCGACUCUAUGUCUAUAUAAAUCCUUUAGCUUGUGUGGUGAGAAAUUGAAUUUCGAGUCCAUGUCCCAAGCCAUUGGUCUAGCAUUUGUCGUUAAUGUUUGUUAAGGAAAAAUCUUAAGUGAAAUUUGACUUGAGAAGUGAUUAUAGGCUCUCCUUGAUCCAAAUGAUAGUUUGANNNNNNNNNNNNNNNNNNNNNNNNNNNNNNNNNNNNNNNNNNNNNNNNNNNNNNNNNNNNNNNNNNNNNNNNNNNNNNNNNNNNNNNNNNNNNNNNNNNNNNNNNNNNNNNNNNNNNNNNNNNNNNNNNNNNNNNNNNNNNNNNNNNNNNNNNNNNNNNNNNNNNNNNNNNNNNNNNNCAUGUUACAAGCCUAUACCCAUUCUAAAAGAUACCCUCUCUUGGCACCCGAUCUUUCCUUGAGCGCAUGGAAAAAAUAUAAGCUUGGGGGAAGAGACGAGGAUGACAACAAAGUGGUAAAAGGCACAAAAAUAAAGAAAGGGAAAGGGAAUGAAAAAGAAAGAAAAGCAAAAGACAAAAAGAAUGCUCAAUAUGAGAAAAGAAUUAAAAGGGAUCCAAGAAAAGCAAAAGAAAGAAAGGUAUGGAAAGUUGAAAAAAGAGAAAUGGUUUUAAUUGCAUAAGAAAGAGUGACAAAGUGUAUCUCUAACCUCUUAGAAAGAGGUGAAGUAACUCAAAGAGUGAAGUGAAUUAUGCCAAAUAAAUCAAAAGAAGUGCUUAAGGGAAGAUGGAACCCACUUAGAUCAAAAUAUUUCUUACCCUGAACCAAAAGCCUUCACAAUGACUCCACAAAAGCACUAAAUGAUCUUGAGUUGAAUGAAGCUUUAAUUAGUGGAUACUUACAUAAGAGGAAAGCAUAUGGUACUUAGAGCCGGACUUGUGACCUUUUUCUUGACAGAGAUGAGUGAAUUCCCAUUAACCUCAAUUUGUGUGUCAAUACUCUAAAAGGUAAGGAUUGCUUAGGGAGAGUUGAGGAUGUGCGAGUUUGGAUUCCACAAUGACUAAAGUAAUUGAAAGAGUUCUUUGAUGUGUUGAGUCAACACUUGAUGUUUUUGUGUCACACUUGAUCCAUAGUUUUUCAAAGGUUAAAUGUUGUUAAUGAUUCAUUCGUAUUAAGGGCAAUUAAUAGUCCCAAUUGAUGCUUUUUGAAGAUACUUUAGGAUAGAUGAAAAUUCUUGAAUUUUCCCUUAAGGGGUGGGUCUUAUUUUGUUUGCCUGAGAACAAGCAAAAGCUUAAGUUUGGGGAGUUGAUAACUAGGAUUUUGACAUGUUUUAUGAUCCUUAUUUCUUAUGCUCCUUAUUUCUUAUGCUUUGAAAAUAGUCCCAAAAGGCUUAUUAGUUGUGCUUGAUUGCAGGUUUGGUCAACAAAGUGACGAAAUGUCAAAAUCGGCUCAAGAGGGGUGAAACCUGCAUAAGUAUCAAAGACAAGACAACUCAGGACAAACCAGCCUAGUGCGGCCGCAGUCCAUUCUGUGUGCUCCGCACUAGGUAAAUUCAGAGGCUGAACUUUAAGGCAUCAAACCUAUUGUGAAUGCAGUCCAUUCUAUGCGGUCCACACUAGGGGGAUUCAAAAAACUGGCAAAACAAGCUUCAAGGCAGUGCGGCCUCAGUCGAUCUUGCGCAGUCCGUACUGAAGACACCGCGGCCACACUACCAUUAUGUGAUGUCCAUGGAAGAGAAGAUCAGAGAGAUAUAACUUUCCCAGGUUCAGGCCAUCUGUGGUCAUGUUUGUGCGCAAUGCAUUGGAAGCCUCCGCGGCUACAGUCCAUUCUGCGCAGUCCGCAGAGCCUGAGUUCAGAGAGCCAAAACUUCAAGACCAAGAGCCUAGUGCGACUGAAGUCCAUUUUGUGCGGCCCACACUGACCUCGCGGGGGCAUUUUUGUUUAGUUUUUCCAACUUACUAUAAAUAGAACCUUUUUUCCAUUUUUAGGGUAUCAGACAUUUUUAGAACUUCAUGUGCGCUUGUGAGAAGACCUUGUAGCCAUUUUUGGCAUUUUUAAUUAGCUUUUAUCAUUGAAUCUUUAUAUUUAGUUUAGCAGUUAAUUAAUAUGCAUUUUCUUCAUCUAUUUCUCUGUUUUUUUCUUCAAGCAUGAGUAGCUAAACCCAUUAGCUAGGUUUGUUGCUAGACCCUAGUGUGGGUAAUUGAUAGGUGUUGCAAUUUAAGGCUAGAUUGACUAUGGGUCUUUGUUAUUUGGGUCAAUCCUAUGGUUUAAAUUAUGAAUUGGUGGUUGCAAACACUGGUUUGUGCUAAGUUGACUUGGCUCUUCUUGACAAAGAGAGCCUAAGUCUCUAAAAUUGAACCAACAAGGAAUUGGGAUGGACUCAAGAGAAUUGAUAGUCCCAAUUAAAGGGUUAAACCUCGAGAGAGUAAUUACCCGACUUAAACCCUAGUUGCUUGAGCAGAUUUGCCUACCCAUUUGGUCUUGAUAAAGUCAAUUAGAAAAAAUCACUCUCUCUACCAAGAGGUGAAAGAGUGGGUAACAUUGUGAAAUGGUUAUAGCAUAUUUCCCCAAUCAUGUCAAAAAUGCCUUAGAAGCAAUUACCCGUUAAUUAGCCAUCUAGGUGAAAGUCACUACACUAGUGCCCUUUUAUAUAUUAGAGACAACUCUUAGCAAUAGUCACCUAGCAUAAUCUAGUUGCAAUAUAUAAUUAGUAGUUGAUAAUAGUUGAUAUUUAAAGAAAAAAAACCCAAAAUAAGAUUGGAAGUGACAUUUUGAGCAAUUACACAACUCUAGCCUAGAUAGAUACUCAAGUCAAAUUCUAGCUCCCUGAGGAAAUCGAUCCCAAUCCAAAAUAGGGCAAAAGAUAUUGUGACCCUCUACUGCUACUUGUUGAUAGUGCGGAGUUGGCUGCAAUCACUUCUGAAACCUCGCCUCGCACUCUUCCAUCCACUGGAACGGAGCACCCUUCUGGGUCAGUCUAAUCAUAGGGGUUGCGAUCGAUGAAAACCCCUCCAUAAAACGAUGGUAGUACCACACCAAGCCAAGGAAAUCGUGGAUCUUUGUAGCUAAGGAUGGUCUGGGCCAAGUCUGCACUGCCUCAACCUUCUUCGGAUCCACCUGAAUACCCUCACUUGAUACCAUGUGGCCCAAGAAUGCCAUGAAAUCCAACCAAAACUCACAUUUUGAAAACUUUGCAUAUAAUUUCUUUUCCUUCAGAGUCUGUAGUGUUGUCCUCAAUCCUGCUCAUGAUCUUCCCGACUCCGGGAAUAAACCAGAAUGUCAUCAAUAAAGACAUUGACAAAAGAGUCAAGAUCUGGCCGGAAUACACUGUGCAUCAAAUGCAUAAAAGGUGUUAGGGCAUUGGUCAGCCCAAAUGACAUAACAAGAAACUCGUAAUGACCAUACUGAGUCCUAAUAGCAUUCUUCGAGAUAUCUGGAUCUCGAAUCAACAACUAACGGUAACCUGAGCACAAAUUGAUCUUAGAAAACACAUGUGCGCCCUGAAGCUGGUCAAACAAAUCAUCAAUACGAGGUAAAUGAUAAUGGUUCUUCAUUGUAACCUUAUUCAAAUGGCGAUAAUAAAUACACAUACGCAUAGAUUCAUCCUUUUUCUUUACAAACAAGACACGAGCACCCCAAGGUGAAACACUGAGCCGAAUAAAACCCUUAUCAAGAAAUUUUUGCAACUGAUCCUUCAACUCUUUCAACAGAAGGGGUAUCAAUAUUGACAUCUCUCACAUAAUCUAGAUACGCGUCAUACUCCUUCUCAACCAUACUUGAGCCUUAAGGAAGGAAAUAACUCUAAUUGGUGUAUGAUCUAAGGAACCCCUUCACUCAACAUGCGGUACACCUGGCAUGGCCAGUGUCACGGUUUUGGCGUGACAAUAAAGAAUAGCAUAAUGGGGCAAAAACUAGUCCAUGCACAAGAUAAUAUCAAAGUCAACCAUGUUGAGUAACAACAAAUCAGCUCUGGUCUCAACAUCACGGAGAGUAACCAAACAUGACCGAUAAACGCGGUCCACAACAAGUGAAUCUCUCACAGGAGUAGAAACAUAAACAAGGGAACUCAAAGAAUCCCGAGAUACACCCAAAUACAGAGCAAAAUAAGAAGACACAUAAGAGUAAGUAGAGCCUGGAUCGAAUAGAACCGAUGCAUCUCUGUGGCAAACCUAUAUAAUACCUGUAAUGAAAGAAUCAAAGGCAAUAGCCUCGGUACGGGCAGGCAUGGCAUAGUAUCUGGCCUUGCUUCCCCCUCUAGGGCGACGUCUACCUUCCCGACCUCCACCUCUAGCUGGCUGGGCAAGUGGGAUAACAACUAGAGCUGCAACCAUAGCCUAAUAACUAUGUGAGGCACGUUGUGGCUGAGAAGUCUGUGGAGGUUCACCCCUCCCAAGUCUAGGGAAAUCCCUCACCAUAUGGCAUGCGUCACCACAUUCAAAACAAGCCCUGGGAGGAUGUGGUAGUUGUGGCUGGCUAGGACCAUAUCUGCUGGACUGGCCUCUGAAAGCACCCCGCGUAGGAGAUGCGCUAGAAACGGGAGGUGCAUAAUAAGGCUCCUGAGGCCUAGGAGGACCUGGAGCACUAUUGGCUGCUGGAAGAGCUAAAUGAAUGGGGUGACUCAUAUAACCCCUACCAUGACGACUUGCAGCUGGGGUACUGGAACCAGAAUAAUGGCCCGAUUUACGAGACCUCUUGGCCUCUCUCUCCUCCCUCUCCCUAGCAUGCAUAUCUUUAAUCCUCCUAGCAAUGCUCACCACCUGUUGAUAAGAAUAUCCAUCUCCAACUCAUGAGCCAUGCUAGAUCUGAUGUUGGGAGUAAGCCCCUCAAUAAACCGGCAAACUCUCUCCCGAACAGUAGCAACCAAGGCUAGUGCAUGCCUAGCCAAACUAGUGUAACGAACAGCAUACUCUGAAAGAAUCAUUACACUCUGGUGCAAAUGUUCAAACUCUACGCGCCAUGUGUCCCUGAGGCUUUAAGGAACAUACUCUCUUAGGAACAGAUCUGAGAACUAAGCCCAAGGCAGUGAAGCAACCUCAACUGGACUGUCUAACUCAUAGGUGCGCCACCACUCAUAGGCGGCCCCUCGAAGCUAAAAGGUAGUGAAAGAAACCUCGUUGGACCCUGACAUACCCAUGGUACGGAGAAUGCAGUAACACUCAUCAUGAAAUCCCAUAGCAUCCUCUGAUGCUAGACCACUUAAUAUAGGAGGCUUGUACAUCUUGAACCUCUCAAGCCUCAACUGAUCAUCCUCGGAAGAUGCUGCCCUAUCCUCGGGCUGAACAGGCACCGCAGGCGGUACAGUAAUAAUCUCGGGAACCUUCUCAAUGGCACUUGCUGCUCAAGAGUGCAGGCGGCGGGAGUCUGUGCUCUUCCAUCGGCCUGGGAUGUGGCUGCAGCAAGGGGAAGCAACCAUGUCUGAGCCAAAGUGGUGUACAUGCUCAUGAAUUGUGCCAGAGUCUCCUAAAGAGCUGGAGUGGUGGUAGCAGUAGUAGUAGGCAUGUCAGGUGCCUGGACUCCGGCUGGAUCUGCUGGUGGUAUCUCGGUGACAGAUCGCGCAGGUGCUAUGGAUGCAUGACGUGCAUGUCCUCGACCUUUACCCUUGUCCCUGCCUCUAGUGGCUGCAGUAAGGGGCACGGAUGCCUGAUCCUCUUGGGUAGCACGUGUUCUCACCAUCUUUGAGAGAAUAGAAAUUGAAAAUGAAGAGAUCAAACUAAAAAUAUCAAAAGUAAUAUUAAAAGAAACUUCUUGAACAAUACCUCUAAGACUCUCUUGAAGAAAUGUAUGGUCAAAGCAGAAGAAAGCAAAGCAAAUCUGAGAUCCUGAAUUGGGAAAAUGGCAAAAGAAGCAAGACCAGCAAGAAAUGCAGGACUGUAUAACAAAAGCAUGCCUUUUUUACUCUCAAUUCUAUCCUUCUUCUCAUUCAUUUGGAAAAAUGGCAAAAGAAACAAGACCAACAAGAAAUGCAGGGCUGUACAACAAAAGCAUGCAUUUUUUACUCUCAAUUCUUUCCUUCUUCUCAUAUUCACUUUUAGUUGAUACAAAGAACUUAGAAUACUGCAUAUGCUUUCCUUUAAUUUCAGAAAGUCCAGCGUUUGCUAAAGAAGCAACACUUAUAACAGACAUUGUAGUAACGAAUAGAGAUGGUGGUGGAGGGUAUAGAAAUUUCAGCAAUGUAAACAACACCAUUUUUCUAGUUCUUGUUCUGUAAAAUUUUGUGUUUUUAAGGAAAUAUUGUGUACAUAAAAAAGCAACAAACUCCGUAAUUUUUGUGCUAUUUGUACUCUUCUUGGAUUUAAGUGUUUGACAAGUAUAUAUGGUGUAUUUCACUAGUUGGAAUAACAGAAUUUUAAGAGUCACAAUUAUGUGGUAGUAACAUUUUUUCAGAAAAAGAUGGAAAGGGGAUAUCCAUUUAAAGUUAUUACUAGAAUUUGGACAGGCCAAAGACCUACGUGGUCACAAAUUUUGCCAAUAAAAAUUUGUAGGUUGGUUAUUGACAACGACAAGGGUCCAAAGUGGGUACUAGUAUUAUUCAUGCUGAGGCAUGUCUCUCUUUACUACCAACAACAACAAUAACUACUACCCAGUAUAGUCCCACAAAGUGGGAUCUGGGGAGGGUAAUAUAUAGACGGGCCUUACCCCUACCCGAAAGAGCAGAGUUGUUGUUUCUAAUCGACCAUCGGCUCAGUGAAGGAAAGAAAAAACAAAAACAAUCACAAAAACAAAAGAGCAUUAGUAACUCCAGCAAAAAUAACGUAAAUAAUUAUCUAAACAUAAGAACCAUAAAUAAAAUAGCAUGCAAUAAUGACAGUAACUACCAUAAAUAACUACCAUAAGAGAGACAAAAUCCAAUACACAAAUCAUCUAUGGAUAGCCAUGCCAAGCCUCACCCAACCCCGGGUGAGGAGUACGAAAAAUUCUAGGAGCCCCUAUCCUACGACCCUGAUUCUAGACCUCCAGACUUUCCUAUCAAGGGCCAUGUCCUCGGAAACCCUCAUUCUAUCCAUGUCAUGCCUAAUCACCUCUCCCCAAUACCUUUUAGGCCUCCCUCUGCCUCGGCGUACGCCGACCAUCGCCAACCGCUCACAACUCAUCACCGGGGCAUCAUGACUUCUCCUCCGCACAUGCCCAAACCACCUCAGUCUCGCUUCUCGCAUCUUCUCAUCCACCGGUCACAGCUCUAUAAAAUUUCCCCUUGAGCUUCUGUGAACUUUCUUGUCACACAGGACUCCUGAUACAAGCCUACACUUUGACCACCCCGCUUCUAUACGAUGAGUGACGUCCUCGUCAAUCUCUCCGUCCCCCUUAAUCACCGACCUAAGAUAUCUGACACUGUCCCUCUUGGAGAUGACCUGAGAUCCAAUCAUCACAUCCCUGCCUACUUCGCUCGGUUCGGCUCCCUGCCUCUAGUGGNNNNNNNNNNNNNNNNNNNNNNNNNNNNNNNNNNNNNNNNNNNNNNNNNNNNNNNNNNNNNNNNNNNNNNNNNNNNNNNNNNNNNNNNNNNNNNCUCCAGGAAUUCUGUCUUAGAUCUGCUUAUUUUGAAACCCUUAGACUCGAGGGUCUGUCUCCAUUCCUCUAACCUCUCAAUAACACCGACCCUCGUCUCUUCUAUCAAGACUAUGUCAUCGGCAAAUAGC
rnacentral:lncRNA from 1 species